rnacentral:lncRNA from 1 species
CUGAAUAUUCCAACAAAAUAAACAUAAAAAGAAACAAAUAUGAUCAGUGUCCAAUAUUUUCAUCUCACUCCAAACAUAAAAAACAAAUUUCAUAGUUACCUCAUCCGGAUGAAAUACUCUGGCAAAAACCUGUUGCUUAGACUUAGAACUUCUUAAGGUGUACUGAUGCAUAGUAACUACACAAAAAAACCGAUGACAACCUCUAAAUGUAAGAUAGAAAAAUGGAAUAAGGGUCAAAUAUUAACUAUAACAUAAGAGAUAAAUCCAAUUUCAAAACUCAAAUAGAUCAAGUGGGAAAUAUUGAAGAAUCAUAGCCCAAAUACGAUAUCAAGUCCUAAGUCCAAACAUUAUAUGAGAAAAUCUCCAUAUCAAGCAUUAGGUGAGUACAAUUAAUGAAGCUACAACUAAAUCACUAAUAGGUAGAACAACAAAUUAUUCACUUUGGUUAAUGGACACGGCAACAUGUCCAAUUGGUCUGAAUCUCUCCAGUGAACUGUAAAGUGAUAAUUUAUGCACAUUUUUUUGAGAAUGAAUGGGUUGUAGAAUCUUUUUUAGUUGAAAGGUUUCAUAUGUAGACUAAUAGAUAUGAUCACUAUACUGUAUUAGAGUUGGUGAGGUAUUAGGUAUCUAAUUUUUAAAUUAGAGGAAGAGAAGAAUGGAGUUAGUAGCUUUAUUAUAAAAGUGGAAAGAGCUAUCUGAACAGUAAACAUCGAAGAAUUAGCAGCUGAAGGAACUAAUUAGUGUAGUUGGGAAAAUUAUCCCUUGGAAUUUCCCAACCAUCAUGUUCUUUUCUAAGGUCAGCCCUCCCUUGGCUGUUGGCUGCACCAUGGUCCUCAAGCCUGCUGAAAAAACAACACUAUCAUCACACUUUUCCCUAUCAACAAUGCUAGCAUCUAUCCUUAUACAUCACCUAUUUGACCCAAUAUUAGUAAUCAUUAAACAUGUGCAAUUGUGCAUACCAGAAAAAAGUAGCAGAUAUCACGUCAAUAAACACUUAUCUGUGUUAACAACAUGAAACGACAGCUUGCACCCUCAAUCGAUAUCAUGGAGUGACAAAACUUCAGGGACUUUUGAAAGAUUUAGGUGUUGAUGGAACCAGAACCUGUAGAUAACAUCACACCUUUUUAGCUUGAAACAUGGAAUAGAAAACAUGAGCUGUUAUUACCAAAACCCUUCAAACAAAUUAUAUGACCUUAAUAAUAACCCCACUUUAGCAUCAAUAACAAUCCUAGAAAAAAAAAUUCCCUGAGCUGUAAAAAAACUGUCUAACCUCUCCCAAAAACUCUAGAAAAAGCAUUGUUUGAAUAAAGUAAGUGUUCUAGUAAAAACACAGAUGGCAAUUUAACAUAAAUUUUUGGAAUAGGAUAAUCCACAUAAGGUAUUAAGAAUAUACAGAUCAAACAGAAAGCAUCCACUGAUAAGCUUGACUGUAUAAACUGAAAAAAACUAAAGGACUCACCUAUAGGUAGCAUAUUAAAUGAGAGCAUAAGAGUUUCAAAUAGCAGCCAUGUUACAGGGACACCAACACAUAUUAGUUCCAACCACAAUGAGUUAAUAAUCCUCUUAUAGCAUGGUGUGAAAGUAUUAGUAUUGUAAGAGAGUUUCUCUUUGAAACUUCCACAAUUUGGGCUAAAUGUGAAAAUGUCUGGCCAAUAAGAAAUCUUACCUCACUCUAAAAAUCAAAAUAAUAAAGAAAGAAUUACAGCCACAAUAUGCGAAAAAAGUUUUAAGAAUUUUUGAUAAAUCUUACUUAAAUCAUAGAUCACAUACCUCUUCUUGUUUUGCUUCAUGUAGGUUCUACUUCCGCCUCCCCAACUCGUUUUACCCAAUCCCUUUAGUCUCACUCUCUUGUCUUGGAUACAUUGAAGGGGACAAUCCAUUCAGAACAAUCAAUAACAUCCUACAAUAACAGGGUGCGUCUUAAAUGGUAGCCUAAUCUCAACCCAAUGCCCGAGUUAANNNNNNNNNNNNNNNNNNNNNNNNNNNNNNNNNNNNNNNNNNNNNNNNNNNNNNNNNNNNNNNNNNNNNNNNNNNNNNNNNNNNNNNNNNNNNNNNNNNNNNNNNNNNNNNNNNNNNNNNNNNNNNNNNNNNNNNNNNNNNNNNNNNNNNNNNNNNNNNNNNNNNNNNNNNNNNNNNNNNNNNNNNNNNNNNNNNNNNNNNNNNNNNNNNNNNNNNNNNNNNNNNNNNNNNNNNNNNNNNNNNNNNNNNNNNNNNNNNNNNNNNNNNNNNNNNNNNNNNNNNNNNNNNNNNNNNNNNNNNNNNNNNNNNNNNNNNNNNNNNNNNNNNNNNNNNNNNNNNNNNNNNNNNNNNNNNNNNNNNNNNNNNNNNNNNNNNNNNNNNNNNNNNNNNNNNNNNNNNNNNNNNNNNNNNNNNNNNNNNNNNNNNNNNNNNNNNNNNNNNNNNNNNNNNNNNNNNNNNNNNNNNNNNNNNNNNNNNNNNNNNNNNNNNNNNNNNNNNNNNNNNNNNNNNNNNNNNNNNNNNNNNNNNNNNNNNNNNNNNNNNNNNNNNNNNNNNNNNNNNNNNNNNNNNNNNNNNNNNNNNNNNNNNNNNNNNNNNNNNNNNNNNNNNNNNNNNNNNNNNNNNNNNNNNNNNNNNNNNNNNNNNNNNNNNNNNNNNNNNNNNNNNNNNNNNNNNNNNNNNNNNNNNNNNNNNNNNNNNNNNNNNNNNNNNNNNNNNNNNNNNNNNNNNNNNNNNNNNNNNNNNNNNNNNNNNNNNNNNNNNNNNNNNNNNNNNNNNNNNNNNNNNNNNNNNNNNNNNNNNNNNNNNNNNNNNNNNNNNNNNNNNNNNNNNNNNNNNNNNNNNNNNNNNNNNNNNNNNNNNNNNNNNNNNNNNNNNNNNNNNNNNNNNNNNNNNNNNNNNNNNNNNNNNNNNNNNNNNNNNNNNNNNNNNNNNNNNNNNNNNNNNNNNNNNNNNNNNNNNNNNNNNNNNNNNNNNNNNNNNNNNNNNNNNNNNNNNNNNNUUCCCCCCUUUAACCCUAAUCCCUAACACUUGAAUUGUAAUCAAAAUCAAACCUAAGAUAGAAAGGGGGAGAGGAAGAACACGAGUGAGAGGGAAGAACACGAGUGAGAGAGAAGAACACGAUUGAGAGAUUUCCAGAACCUACCAUGAACCAACCUUCCUGGAUUUUUCUGUGAAUUGGAUUUGUACAGAAUCACUUGUUUGCCACAACCACAACUUCUCUCUUGCAAAGGGGUGCAGGAAUUGGACGAACGAGCACUGAUUCGUGUGUUCUGGGUCGAGUCGCGCAUCUGGGUGUUGUUCCUCGCCAUAGCGCACUUCUGGAUCUGGUUCUGAGACUGCAUCUUGUGCUUCAACCUCGCGUGCUUCCACUUCGUUAACCACCGCUACCGCCGUCGCCUUUCCCCGUUCAACCUCGCGUGCUUCCUCUUCGUUCACCUCUGGUUCUCCAACUCCUUCCCCUUCUUCGACAUUCUCUCUUAUUUUAUCUUAGGUUUAGUUUGAUUUUGAUUUGGGAUUAGGGUUAAAGGGGGGGAAUUAGGAUUAGUGAUAAAUAUUAGUGUUUUUUAAUUAUAAUAAUUCAUUAACAGAUUUAAAAAAAUUAUAAAUGCAUACGUGUAUAUUGUGAAUGGGAUAGAAAAUUGCCACAUAAGCUUAAAACACACGCAGGGACUUAUUUGGACCAAAAAAAAUUUCAUAGGGACCGGGAAUUGGAAAAAAAAAUUUUAGGGACCUAUUUUAAUGUCGGGAACAAUUUCAGGGGCCUUUGUAUGUAUUAAGCCUUAAAUUUUUAAUAUAAUCAAGGGUGAGGAUGUGGAGUAGCUUUUUAAAGUUACUCUUGGAGUAAAUGGAGACCGUCCUUAUGAGUCAGAUUAUUUACAACAUGAGACCUUCCUUAUGAAAGAUGAGACCGUCCUUAUGAGUCAAAUUAUACUGUCAAAUUAUACUUUUAGAUGAGAGAUAUAAUAUUAAAUAAGAGUAUAAAUUUUGAACAAAAUCACAAUAUGGAAUUUGUAGGAUUGUUCUCUGAAGCUCUGGGCAAUAGAUGGGCAUACGAAGCGGAGGUCAUUGCUAUCUUGAAGGCUCUCCAGUUCAGCAAGCAACACGCACUUAACCACUUGGUGAUUGAAUCUGACUCCACACCUUGCAGUAGGAUGGGCCAACAAUAAAGCACUUAGACCAUGGAAGCUAAGAAGUGAGCUGAAUUUAAUUGAUAUCUUAGUCAGUGAGGUUGAUUGCAUUGGUAUAGUCCACAUUUAUAGAGAGGCAAAUCAUUUAGCUAACCACUUAGCUAAAUCUGGCUGUGAGAGGCUUCCCCCUUAUCUGUGUUUUUUGGUUUGGGAUCCACUUGAAUCAAUUGCUAUGUAGUCUAGUUCCUAUGAUGUUCAUGACUAAGUUUGUAUGCACCCGACUUCGAGAAUAAAAAUAUAUAAAAAUAAAAGACUAUAAAAUAAAAUAAACGAACAUGUUGGUCAAAUAUUUCUUUUGAGACGAGUUUUGCUCUCCCAAACUCGGCCUCUGCUAAGAGUCGAACAAGUUUGAAGAAGACGAGGAUCAAAAUAUAAGAUCGACCCCUUCCUCAUCAGGUUAGGUCGAAUUGGGGGCAUGCUCUCCUUAGAUUUUUUAUUAUUUAAUUUUAUUCACUUACAUAGUUGAAACCAUUUUUUGGUCCUAUUGUGUUGCUCAGUUUGAAUCUUCUUUUGAAGUAGCAUGCCUCAUGUUGCGAACCUUACAUAAAAUUCAUAUUUGUGUAUAAUCACAUGAUUUUCUUAUUUAGGAUAAGAAAAUGUUGGAUAAGAAAAUUUUCAAGCUACUUCUGUAACAUCUAUAUCUAUAUAUAUUAGUAAAGCUCAGUUGAGCUAAGUAUUAAAUAUAAAAUAGUAUUAAACAAGAGCAUUAAACACAUAAGUAAAAUAUAAUUAAAAUGAAAUUAUUGUUUCAGUUACUUACGAUUCAAUGAGUUUCAAUUUUAUUACAUACAGUUUCUCUUUGUGUAAUUUAAAACACAUGGCACCACCACAAAUUUGAAUACUGAUUAAAUAGCCAAGUGAUGAGUAAAUAAAAGAUGAUUAAAGAAGGGACCAAACGUAGCCAACUCAAUGAGUAAAUCAAAAGAUGAUAUAAAGAAUGGAACAUGCGUUUCUUCUAUAGAUUAAGAAAGGAAAUUUACUGCUCAAUGUAACGUGCGUUUCUUCCAUGAGUUAAGAAAGGAAAUUUACUGGUCAAAGUAGUACACAUCUAAUAUCCACUACAAUUGAGAAAAAAAACUAUUUUUUGCACCUUUCGGUUCUGUAACAGCCUAAAUUGUAAUUAGUACACCGUCUCAUCAAUUCUCCAUAAAUCCAUAACCUGUCAUUUCAAAGCAAUAAACCACCUUGCAGAAAUUGAAAAAAUUUGGCAAUGCAAAGAGCCUAUUCAUCUACCUACAUUAAUUUGAAAAAAUGCAAUUACACUAAACCAUGCACUAUUGUAUAUCUCUAUAUAAACAACUCAAUCACACUCAAAUCAUGCAUAUCUUAGACUCCAACAUCCUACAAGAAAAGAAUAGCAACAAUCACAACCUAUUUCAACAAGUAUGUCAUUUUUCAACCUAAUACACAUGAAUGAAGGGGUUUACGCCGUGACGUUGGGGGCUAUGGAUAACAGCUUCUUGGUCAAUGACGCUGGCGUUCGCGUUUACCGGAACUUUGACCGUGGGAUGCAAGACAAGGGCGGCGGGAGCCUCUGGCAGAUGUCGACGCCCAACAAGUCGUUGCUGAUGAGGGCGGAGACCAACAUGAUACUCAUGAGUCCCCUCAGCAGUGGGAAGCUCCAUGCCUCAAGGCUUCACCAGUUGGAUAUUGAGACUGGGAAGACGGCGCGGGAUACACGCAAAGCAGAUCUGUGACAAUGUCGAAGUGGAUGGGGUCGAGGUUGAGGGAGUGGUGGUCAACGAAGGAAUGGAAGGUCAAGACCGAAGAAGAAGCGUGGAGGUUGGGACGAUGGGUUCUACACUUCUAUCACGACGCCAGUGAAGGAUGAGGGAGAAGAACGUGAGGCUUGAGAUUUUUCUAAAAAACAAAUGUGGAGAAUGAAAUUUUUUUAAUGUUACCAUCAAUUAUCAAUUAGGUAUUACUGAAAAUUAGGCCCUUGAUGAUUUGUUAAAUUAAAGGAACAAACUGAAAAAUUUAACAAAUUUUAAAAUUAGAUAAUUUAAAAUAUUAGAAUAUAAUCAAAAGUAAAAAUAUAUUGACUUUUGGGCCGCGUCGAUUUUAUACUACUAUGUAUUUUUUAAAGGGUUAUUAUGUAUUUUACUAAUACUUCAUUUUCUUUAAUGAUUUUUUAAAAAAUAAAACUUCACAACUAUUCCAAAUUUUAAAAUAAUUUAUAAUUAAUUAUACCAAUUUAAAAUAAAUAUUAUUAAAAAAUAAUUAGUUCAUUUUAAUAAUUCAUAGAAGAGUCUAAGAAGACGUUUUCUUGAAAAGACCUAACUUUUAACAUACCCGGAUCAAACAUGAUACUUCAAAGAGAAUACCUGUGGUUGAACCAAAAAAUAUAAUUUAUGAUUUAUAAAUUGUUUUCCCAAAAUGAAAUAUUAAAUUAUUUACUUCUGUUAGUUCUUAUAAAUAUUGAAAAUAAUUUUAACACACAUAAAAACUAUAAUGCAUAAAAUUGUUUUUUUACAAGAAAAUAUUAUUUCUUAAAUAAGAAUAGAGAGUGUUGCGAGCAAACUCCCCCAAAUGAGUAAAACAAAGUAAAAAUUAAAUUCUUACAAAAUUAGUAUGUUCUCUCACCCCUCUUUAUCUAUAUAUUUUACAUUUUUAUUCAUUAACAGCUUUUUAACCUUUAAAAAAAUAAAAAGGAACAACAAAACUUAAAAACAUAUCCGUGCAACGCACGGGUUAAAUUUCUAGUUGAAGAACAUUUCUGACUAAAGUCAUAAUUGCAAGCUUUGGUUGUGGAUAAGCACUUUACUAGUCAUAUGGGUUAGCCAACAUAGCAGCAAGAAAGGUUGUAAGUGAUGUCUUGAGUACAUUUUGGAAUUAAUAUUUUGUUGUGGCAAAGCUUAAAGCUCUCUUAUAAAAAUCUUUUAUGAACUAUGUACAUUGGGGGGGGGGGGGAUACAAAGAGCUCAAAAAUGCAAUCAAGGAAAUAUUUGAUACAAAAAUAUUUGUAUAGGCUUUACACAAAAAUUACUAGAGCAUGAUGAGUUAGACACUUAAAGCACGACAUUCAUACAAUCACUUACUUUUUAAAUCUUUUAUUCUCAUGUGAUGAAAAGUUUUGAGAAAAGAAUAGGGCAAUGUAAUCACUUCUUAAAUUGUGAUAAACCCAUUUAUUAUUGAUUUGACUUAGGACAUACAUUAGAUGCAGGUCUAUUGUGAAGGACCACAAAUUUUUAGUUCCAAUGGUCCUAAAAAAAUGGGUAGGAUAGAUUUGUAACUAACUAGUUAUGAUGUGGUUUUUUGUUUUGUGUUAUGAUCAUACAUCUAACUAUAACUUUUGUAGAUUAAUAGUGGGUAUGCUAAGGGGUAGAUAUCCAAUUUUACAAAAAACUUGUAAUUUACCUUCUGAAACGACCCGUUUUAUAUAAUUAGUCAUUAUAUUAUUAUUAUUAAAAAAAAAGGAAAAAAAAAACAACUAACCUAUCUUUAUAUAUAAACCACGCUGCACCCCACCCCAUUACUUUCCCACUCUCUCGAUCAAUUCCUUUCUUUUCCGUCGGCGCAGACAUAAACCCAAUGACUUGGUAUUCUCUUCUUUUGUUUAUUUUCUUGGCAUCUUCACAACUAAAUACUGCAUCAUAAUCCCACCGCACAGUAUACACAUUCAUGAAGAAAUUCAUGGCAUUCAAGUGGAGGGCUUUUUGGGAUAAUUUUGGGAGUUAGGGUCUUUGCUCUGAGGAAGGAGAAUGGUACCUACUCUUUCAGAAUUGCUUAAUUGGUUUAUUGAGGUAUUUCUACUAGCCAUAAAUUUAGAGAAUAACAUUGUAUUGUAUGUUAGACUAAGGUAAAAUUAUUUGAGGGCUUUGAGUACAUAAUUGGGGAUUUCUUAGUUGCUCACGGGUAGUACGACAUAAGAUAAUUGUUGCUGAAGGUUUGAAGUUGAUUUUUGGUGUUCAGAUCUGCCGGUUAGUGGUUCGUUUGGUUGUCGCGCAGUUGUGGAGAGCAAUAGUGUUGGUUCUUCGUAACUAUGAGUGGUUUUCAACUACUAUGACAUAUUUUUUUACGUUCCUAUGACUGAUUUAAUUACUUUAUCAUAGUGUCUAUUUAUCUAAAUUGGGGAAACAUGUUUUUAUAUGUUGACUAUCAUUCUUGAACUUCUUUGAACGUUGAUUUUGAACAUGUUUUAUGAAUUGAUAUGAGAAGAGAAUGAUAUUGGUUUAAUUUUGAAAUUAUGUGAAAUUGAGAUUAUGAACUUGAAAAGCGUUGAUGAGCAUUGAAAAGUUGAUGUUGAGAAUGUUAUUUUGAAAAGCUUUGAUGAGCAUUGGAAAACUGAUUUUGAGACUGUUGAUGAGACUUGAUAUGGUUUGAGAACUGUUUUGGGGAUCCUUGAUAGAACCCCGUAGCCGUUAGUGGAGGUAACGGCCUAUGUGCACCUAGCUAGUUUGAUUCCGGGAGGAGAGGGCUAUCCGUUAGAUGGAGCCGCCAGUGCACGGAAAGGGCUAUCAACGAGAUGUAGCUUCCCCCGAUGAGAUUGAUGAGAUGUUACAUGAUUCCGGGUGGAGAGGGCUAUCCGUUAGAUGGAGCCACCUCUUGGGUAACAUAAUCCUUAAGAGGAAAGGGCUAUCAACGAGAUGUAGCUUCCCCCGAUGACACGAUGUGACUUGAGAAAGGAAAGGGCUAUCCGCUAGAUGGAGCCGCCCCUAUCGGAGAGGUCAUCCCUUAGGAGGAGAGGGCUAUCAGCGAGAUGGAGCCGCCUCACGAUUCUACAUGUGUGACCCUAUUCCAUUAAAUUUCAGAUUUUAAAUGUCUUCACUUAUUGACAUGAUUUUAACUUAUCUAUUUGACAUGAUUAUUUAUGAUCUUUAUGAGUUUCAGUACUUUUAGCAUUGAAAUGGUUUGAACUAAUAUUGUUGGUGAUAGUGAUUAUCUAAACUGAGUUGAGAGCGAAAAACUCAUGCCUCGAAUGUUUCCCCUUCCUGUUCAUGGUGGUUGUUGAUUGCUCACUAAGUCUUUGUGACUUACCUCAUUCAUUAUUUUCCCUCCACAGAUUUUUAGGCAACUAAGUAGCAGACUGUUGUCAGGUUUAGAUCAUUCGGCUCAUUUCAUUUAUAGGCCUCAUUUGACAGGUGGUCAUAUUUGUGUCUUUGUUGCUCUUUGCUAUUCUGCAGCUAUAGGGGAGUCUUGGGGAAUUCAGUUUGAGUUAUUAUGUAUUGUUUUAAUUUAAGAAUUAGCACUUUAGUGCUGGAUUUGGAAUUCGUGUAUUCUUGGAGUUCUAGAUAUGAUAAACCUCAAUUGAUAUAUUUUAUUAUUUUGGAGAUAUUGAUAUUAAAGGAAAGAUUCUUUUUGUAAAUUAUAGUAAACAUGUAUAAUUUUGGAAAAUAAUUUUAGGAAGAGGGUUUUGGUUAAAUAGGCUUGUCAGGCUAAGAUGAUAGUCUGUGCGCCGGUCACGGCUUAGGAUUUUGGGUCGUGACACCUUCCUUGUCAAACAUCUUCUUUCCCCUAUUAUGAGAGGAAUUUGGUCUUUUCUUGAAUGCAUCAAUAAAAAGGAUGCCCACUAGGGUGGACUCUUUAAAAUAUGGUCCACCGGUGGUCCACUGUUUAAUUACCGUUAGAUCUUAGAAUCUAAGAAUAUUCCUUAAAUGAAUGGCUAGGAUUGAAAGGAUGAUAAAAGGGUAAAAAUGUAAGAUUAUUUCUUUUAUUAAUUAAAAGAUAAACAAAAAACCUCUGAAAAUCAUACUCAUUACAAACCAAUGAAUUUUACAUUUCAAAUGAGAUUCACAAAUCAAUUUAGACUCUAGAGUUUCUCAGUAUCAAUGAUGAUUUCCGGCACAUGAGCACAAUGAAAUUAAGAAAAUUAACAUUCUGAAAGACAAAACCCCAGUAAAUACAAGCAAGUGACUCAACCCCUGACACGCAUCAAGCAAUUCCUUCAAUCUCAAAAUUGAAGAAUAAAAUCAAAAUGUUAAUCUGGCCACCUUUAAUCAAGAAACAUCAAAAUAUUGAUUGAUCUUGCCACUUCCCCAGCUUGAAUCAGUAAAAUAAAAAAAAAUGCUAGAUUGUGGAAUACCCAGUAGAGAAGAUUAUUCAAAGUUUCAAACUUGAAAACUCUAGAUGACAGAUUCAAAUUUAAUAUGCUCAUCAUCAAAACAAGAACAAUCAACUCUAGAUGAUGAGAUCCAGGUUCGUCUUCAUUGCAGAUCUGAGCUUCUCACCGUCUGGGUAGAUCUGAGAAUACCAAGCCAUGGAUCUUCCCAAAAGCCUCAGUAAGAAUCCUCAACUGAAGCCCAGAAAGAUCAACCCUCUCCACAUCCUCACUCUCUGCUUUCCUCAACACUCUAACAACCUCUUCGUUCACCUCCUCAAUCUAAUCAUCCCCUCCUUUCACCGAUUGCGUCGUCACGCACGACCCGUACGCAGCCUCAGCUUCUUGGCACAGUCCUCGUGCAUUUCAUCCAUCCUCAGGAGAGCCUGAAACACGUGAACGUCGGUGUCAGAAAUAUCCGGAGGGAGAAGGUGUAGGUGAUGUUAAGGUCGGUGAAGAGUUGGGUGAGUGAGGGUAGCACUUUGGGGUUCCUGCGUGGAGGUGGAUAGGUUUGGGGAUCUUGCUGGUGCAAGAGGUGGCUGAGGAAGGGAUCUGAUAUGGUGGAGAAUGUUCUAGAUCUGGGUUAGAUCUCUGGAGGGAUGAAUUUUAGGGUUUAACUUUUUUUUACAAUUAUCUAUAGUAAAUUACUUUAACACCCAUGGUCCAUGGGUGGACCAAAAAAUAAAUUGUCCACCCUAGUGGGCAUCAAUAAAAAGAAAAGAAAACGACAUAAACAUCAAAUGUUCUUUCGGAGGCCACGCCAUGCACAACCUAUAACUCUUAAAGUCAUGAACAACACCCAAAUCAUCACCAAUGUGUUAGCUCAAUAACCUCGGACAAGAGGAGAUGGAGGAUGAGACAUGUCACGGGCUCGCCAAGACAUACCCUUAAUCGAAACAAUGUUGGCGUUUCAUUAUCUAAGUCUUCGUAAAAAUUAGCAUUUCCCUUAAAAAAAUUAUUGACCGCUUAGCAUUAAGCUAUAAAGUUUUGACAAAUCUUAAUUUUUUUUUUGUUUUGGGUAGAGACAUACACAAACCUUGAUAGUUGACCCACCAUCAUUCUGAGGCCGGAUCCUGCCGUUCAGUCCAACGAUCAGUGGCGAACCUUGUUGAUGACAGGAGGGAGCUACCUCAAAAAAUUUUAGGAAAAAUUCUAAAAAGGAUUUGGGUAAAAAAUACAUAUUCAGUUAAUACUAUAUAAAAUAAAAUCUGUGUUGUCUUACACAAGACUUGCUACUGGUUCAGUGGCUGAGAACCACGCUUAAGAUGACAAGGGCUGAGGUUUGAAUGUUGCCUUAGUUCUUUUCACAUUUUUUUAUUUUUAACAACUAGUUUCACUUACCUUUUGACCUGGCCUUAGUUAACUUGCACAAGUAUUAAAACUUAUAAAAGAAAGUUAUUUAAAAGUAAAAUAUAUAUCCAUAAACCAAAAAUUGAAAAAAAAAAAGAGUAAAUUUUCAAGAUUAUUAACCUAACUUAUAAUAAAUUUUCAACAUCCAUAUUCUAUGAACUAUUUUUUUAUGAAUAUUUGUGUAUUAAUAAUAAAAAAUAUUAUAGUUUAUAUAUUGAAAUCUUCUUUUAGCUCUCUCAAAUUUUUUCUUCAAGUUCCGCCACUGCCAACGAUCCAAGGGUCCCACUGGAGACCACACUGGCUGCUGAGUCACACGCCACGUCGGAAACGGCCCCACACACCGUUACUCCACCGUGACCCUACAAGGACACGAGUGACGGAGACACCAACGUUUGAAAUUCAAGGUUCUCUCUCGUUUUUUGUUUCAGAAUUUCAAAACUCACACUCACUGUUUCUCUCUCUCUCUCAACUCAACGGGUAGUGCCACUCAACCUUGCAUUGAAGCCAAGCAUUUAAUAUAACCUCCCUCUUCGUUAUUUUGAAUGAAUGCUCAUUCAUCAAACUCACGAGAAUCUUGCUCCUUCCUUUGAUUUCUGGGUCAGAUCAGAUCCGAUCUCUCUCCAUUUCCAUAACCCCAUUGCCCAAAGCUUCACUUUCCCAGGUAAAAGUCUUUUCCUUCUCUAUAAAACAGAGCUUUUCUUCUGUUUUCCUCACAUUGAAUAACCAAAUUAUUAGAUGCAUUAGAAAUAUAAAUAUAAUACUAAUUCUCAGCUAGCCAGCUUAAACUUUUAGAUUAGUCAUUUCAUGAUACGGUAUCAGAGUCUAUAUGAUCAUGUGAUUUUGAGUUCGAUCUUUGGUAGAGGUGUGUAUGCAUUGUCCACGCUUCGAGAGUUCAAGUCAAUGAGCUCUUGUGUUGUGUGGUUUGGGAUGCUGAAUGAAUGUUGUAAGACUUGAAAGAAUUUGAAUUUGAAUUUUUGUUUUUGUUUUGGUGAUCAAUUAUAAGAGUUGUAUUUGAAAAUUGAAGCAUUCAUUCAAUUUUUGGUGUUGCAGAGAGGGACAGGGGUUAUAUUGUUAUCGUAUAAAUCGUUGGAGAAAUAUGCCGCUGGAAAGUUUACAAAGCUCAUUCUUCACAUCUCCUUGCAAGAGAGGAUUGAAUUUGAAUUUGAGGAGUUCGGUCUUUAGCAACGAUGAGGCUUCAUAUAUUGUGACGGAGGAUAGCAUCAAUGAUCAUGAAUUGGCUCAGAGGAAAGCAGAGGAAGCAGGUAUGAACUAGCAAUAUAUCAAUGAUCAUGAAUUUCUGAUUGAAAUUAGAAACAGAGCACUUGUCCUAGUACUACUACAAUCUUCAUGUUUCUGAAGUUGAUAGUUAACUUUAUUUUGAAAACUAAAUCCAUUUUAGGAAUAUAAUCAAUUUUCUUAAACAAAAAUGUUAAUCGUACUAUUACUAUGGUGUCAUUCCAAUCUUCAAAAGAUAACAUAGUCUUCUAAAUUACUAGACAUGCUUGUUGGUUAAGAUACAUUUCUUCCAAUGAUGUUAUUUCUUUAUGAUCAUAUAGAAAAAGUAAAAAAGUAUGGUAAAAGAAUCAGUAAUAAUUCGAUUGUGCUAAUUAAACAUGGGGUGGGUGGAAAAGAAAAGUGAAUGGGACGGGACACACCAAAACAUUGUGUAGUCCUUAAUGAUAGUAAAGCGCAGUAAGCGGGGGAUAUGUUGCACUUGCACUAAAAUGGGAUUGUGCCCCCCACCAUUACCAUUCAAAUUAUGUGAUUUCAAGCAUGGUGCCUACUACUAGUAGUACUACCCAACAACAACAAUAAAGCAUGGUUUCUUAUAGGUACUAUCCGACCCAAAAAAAAGCACGGUGUCAAUAUAACUUUGGAACAUAAUAAUCUUUGUAAUACUAAUUCAAUGGAACUUAUAGUUAUAUUAUAUCAUUGUUAUUUUGUUUUAGAAUCAAUAGUAACAUACACAAUCCCUUCUAAGUGGAGCGAAUCUCGAGUGAGGUGUUCAAGAGAGAGAUAAGAAGAAAACAUAAAGGAAAAGAGAUGUAAUUUAUAAUAUGAUUGAAAAAGAAGAAUAAAAAGUGAAAUAAAAAUAAAGUAAAUGUGUGAAUGAAUCACAACUCCUUUAACCUCUAUUCAAUCACUCCAUCAAAGCUGCUCAUAGAAAAUUGUUUUAUGUGUCAACAUAACUAAUUAGACUUAUUACAUAUUUAAAUGAGAUAAUAUAAUAUUGUUAAGACUAUGAUAUAAAAUAAUAUUUAAAUACUAAUAUGAUAUAACAAUAUUAUUUUUAGCACUUUCCAUUUUAUCUGUAUCAUUAUCAUAUUUGUUUAUAUCUAUAUGUUCAUACUAAAAAUAUCAUUAUACAAAAAAAAAAAAAUUCUCUUCUAUCUUUCUGUUCAACCAAACAAGAGAGUGUGUCCACAUCCUUUUUUUUCUCUUCACUUUCUAUCAUACAAAACAUCUCUCUUUCUCAAUUCUUUCUCUCUACCAUUUCUAUCUUCUCUAUUUCUAUUUCUCUUUUCCUCUCCUUAACCAAACAAAACAUUAAGUGAUUAAACUAAACUAAAACGGUGUCGUAGGAACAUUUCCCGCCAUCUCUUCUUGUUGUUCAUAGUAGAAACUGUGGUGGUUGUAGUUGUGAAUGUGACUGUGUUUGUGUGUGUGUGUUUGAGAGUGCAGCUUCAAGGAGGAACCAAGCAGCUGAAUGGCUUCGGCAAAUGGACGACGGCGCAGCCGCAUCAUCACUCUCCAAACAAUCCUCCGAGGAAGAAUUCUGCCUUGCACUCCGCAAUGGCCUCAUUCUCUGCAAUGUCCUCAACAAAGUCAACCCCGGUGCUGUCCUCAAGGUCCUUCCUUCUCCCUUUUUCCUUUCUGGGUUUCCUCCAUUUUUCUUCUCUUGUUUCAGAUAUAACAGAAAAUCAUGUGUAAUUCACUCAACACACACCUUUAACUUAUUCACAUGAUCAAUUGCAUGUUUGGCUAGACUUUUGGAUAAUUUGUUAUUGACUUGAUUAAUUUCUGUGCUAGAAAGACCCAUAAUCACUUUUUAAGAGAAGCUAUAAAAUUUGCUUUUGUAGUUACUAGUUAGCUUGCUUUGGAUUAUGUAUCUCCAUCAAUGCAAAUAUGCUAUAAAUGGUUUGGAAUUUGAAUCCUAGACUCUCAUUUUCACAAUAAAAUGUUAAACUUUAGCACUAGAUAGAUGAACCAAUGUAAUAUCCACAAUUCUAAGCCUAAAGGGCUGUUGCAUGAGGAAGCUUAUUAUAAAUCUAAUAUAAAAUCAAGUUUUUUCAUGCAAUGGAUUGAAAUUUUGGAGAUAUUUAUUUCAUGAAAUGUCUUCCCCUUCAUAUUACGAUGCCUUUUAUGCUCCGCUGAUUUUUUUUUUCCUUUUUGACUUUUCCGGUUUUCCCUUGGUUUGUAAAUUGCUGUGGAAAAAGGUGGUGGAGAAUCCUGUCCCUGCGGUUCAGUCUGCAGAGGGAGCUGCGCAAUCUGCGAUUCAGUAUUUCGAGAACAUGAAGAAUUUUCUGGAUGCAGUUAAGGAUAUGGAGCUUUUGACUUUUGAAGCUUCGGAUUUGGAAAAAGGUUGGAGCUUUGAAUUGAUUAGUGAUGACCCUCCCUUUGAGAUUAAAGAUGCUACCUUGUCUCAAUAGCCAUUUCAUUAUUGCUCUUUUGGAGUUCUCUAUUAAUGUGGUUUGUUCUGUGCUUGUAGGGGGUUCAUCAAGUAAAGUUGUGGACUGCAUUCUCUGUUUGAAAGGGUAUUAUGAAUGGAAGCUCUCAGGUGGUGUUGGCGUGUGGAGGUAUGGAGGAACAGUGAGGAUUACUUCCUUUCCUAAAGGAACUCCUCCCUCCCUUGUGGACAGUGAAAGUGCUGAUGAAUCCCUGGAUGAGUUUGAUUCGUCACAGUAUGAACAGCUACUUAAAUUUCUUCAUCUAUCUGGAGAGGUCUCAGUUGAAGAAACCAGAACUACCAAUGCUUUUGCUUUCCUGUUUGAUCACUUUGUACUCAAAAUUCUCCAGGCUUACCUCAGAGAAACUGAUGAGACUGAAGAUUUGCCGCUGAAUGCAAUGGUCGGUAAGAUCCUCUCCAAUGUGUUGUAUUUUUCUUGCUUCUGUUCUUGUUUAAUUGUACGAAAACUUUGUAGAUUGAUUUAUAUGAUUAGUAGCUGGCUAUAUACAAAAAUGAUUAUACAUAGAUCACCGAGCAAUAAAUUCUUAGUUUAUAAGCAUGUGAAAUAGUCUAAUGCAGUAAUGCCAUGGUGCAUGCAAAUGCAAUGAAGGAUGUUUUCUAUUUUAGAAUGUAACUAUAUGGAAUUUUAAGACUGUCAAAUUAGAUUUUUUUUACAAAUUUAAUUUAUGUGUAAAUAUUCAUGCUAUCUUAUUAGUCUUCGGGUGAAAUUUGGCAGGUGAUUGAUACUUUUCUCAGGAAGGUAGUCAUGGAUUUUUCUUCAUUGCUUGUUUCUCAAGGCGCUCAGGUACUUCAAACUUUUAUGUGCCUUUUGGAUUGCUACCACGUUUUCAAUGUAAAAGCACCCUCGUUUCUGUUGUUUUCCAGCUCUACAAGAAAUGAUUGACAGUGGUUUAGUCUUUUCCUUUUCCUUACUUCGAAAGGUCAUCUAAAAUAUAGUUCUUCACAAUUGUCUACAGCUUGGACGUUUCCUCAAGAAAAUAUUGAAAGGAGAUAUUAGUUGCCUCUCUAAGAGAGAAUUCAUAGAAGCCAUCACAUUAUAUCUUAAUCAAAGAAAUAGCUUGGCGUCGAAUGAUUUCUCUAAUUUCUGCACUUGUGGUGGAAAACGUGUCAGUAUUCAGCGAAAUGUGAACUAUUCUGCCAAGCAUGCUGAAAUAAUUGAUGCUCAGAAACAACUUGAGGUAUCGAAGUGGAAAAAUCUAAUAUGCCGCUAUAGAUGCUUUAUCAUGUGUGAUUAGAUUAGCACCAUGCACUGCAAUGAUAUUUUUCUUGCUACAGGCAAUGAAGUACUUCUUUGAAGAGAUUAAACGGGAGGUCAACCAGAUUCAGUCCGAAUGGCACCAAGAAGUGAGCAGGCUUGGUAAGGAGCUAAGACUUGAUUUUCCAUGAGAAAUAUCACCCAUGCAUGUACAAUCUUUUGAUAGUCAUAAUGUUGAAUUGAGUUCCAUGUACUUUUUAGAGAAUCAUAUAAAGAGUCUGGAAGUAGCCUCCUCUUCCUACCACAAAGUUUUAGAGGAGAACCGCUUUCUUUACAAUCAAGUGCAAGAUCUCAAAGGUAACUCAAGAAUCCAACAUUUUUUCAAGGUUCUUCUUACAUGAUUUUUUGUGUGUUAACAAAUCUGCUGUCUUACAGGAGCCAUUAGGGUCUAUUGUAGAGUGAGACCGUUCUUACCAGGACAAUCAAAUGGACAAUCUACAGUAGAUUAUAUAGGAGAAAAUGGAAACAUAAUGAUUGUAAAUCCCCUUAAGCAGGGUAAAGAUGCUAGAAAGGAAUUUUUAUUCAAUAAGGUGUUUGCAACUAGUGUCACACAAGGUACUUUAAUAUUUUGACAUGUAUUAUUACAAAAUGGUAUAGGGCCUCUAUGUACUUUUUUCUACAUGGUUCUUAUUAUAUGCAUUUGUUACAAAUAAACUUAUGGACUUUGUAUCCCUUUUUUGGAAGAUUUUUAUGAUGAAUUUUCUUUAUCGUGUGCAGAACAAAUAUAUGCUGAUACUCAACCCUUGGUCAGAUCGGUUUUAGAUGGCUACAAUGUAUGCAUCUUUGCUUAUGGACAGACUGGCUCAGGAAAGACCUACACGAUGGUAAUGUUAUUUACAGAAAUGUGCAAGCACAUAGAAAGUAGUCAAACACAUAAUGUUACUUAUACAUUCACUUAAUGUUUGUGGAAUUUGAAACCUAAGCCACAUUGAAAGAGUAAUAAUAUUUCAAGGUAAUUAACUGGGUUUGCAAUAAUUCAAAGUAGGAUAUUUAUUGUUGUCUCAUAAUUUUUCUGAUAUCUAUGUUUUAUGUGAUUUAUUGCUUGUACAGAGUGGCCCUGAUCUGAUGACUGAAGAGACAUGGGGUGUGAACUAUAGGGCUUUGCGUGAUUUAUUUCACAUAUCGAAGGAAAGAGCAGAUGCCAUAAAAUAUGAAGUUGGCGUCCAGAUGAUUGAAAUAUACAAUGAGCAAGUGAGAGAUCUAUUAGUCAGUGAUGGCUCUAACAGAAGAUAUCCUUCAAGCCCAUAUUUGCUGUAUUUAUAUCACACCAUUUUUUCAAUAUGUACAUGAUUACAUGAUAAGCCUUACUUUUUUGUAUCGAUUUUUGCAAUAACAUUUAUCUUUGGUUCAUUUCCUCAACUAGAUAUACAUUAGAAAUACGAAACAACUCUCAGUUGAACGGUCUUAAUGUGCCUGAUGCAUCUUUAGUUCCUGUUAAUUGUACUCAAGAUGUUCUUGAUUUAAUGAAAAUUGGUCAAAGGAACCGUGCUGUGGGUGCUACAGCUCUGAAUGAGCGAAGCAGCCGUUCUCACAGGUGAAACUUCUUCUUCAUGAGUAUUAGAUAGAUGGCUACUCUAACCAUCAAAUAUAUUUAAUUUAGUAAAAUUCUCUCCCACCCAAUUGCAGUGUGUUGACAGUUCAUAUCAGAGGGAGGGACUUAGUUUCUAACUCCAUUCUUAAGGGCUGUCUUCAUCUUGUGGAUUUGGCUGGAAGUGAGAGAGUGGACAAAUCUGAGGCUGUUGGUGAGAGACUAAAGGAGGCCCAACAUAUUAAUAGAUCACUUUCAGCACUUGGGGAUGUUAUCUCAGCUUUGGCACAGAAGAGUCCACAUAUUCCUUACAGAAAUAGCAAGCUUACACAAGUUUUACAAGAUUCAUUAGGUAACAAGAAGACAUAAUUGAUCCCCCACCGAUCCUAAUUGUCAAAAUUGUUUUCUAUUUUGAAUUUCUUUAAAGAAUAUUUUUUUCAUAUCAAUAGGUGGCCAUGCAAAGACUUUGAUGUUUGUUCAUAUAAAUCCUGAACUGAAUGCUCUUGGGGAGACAAUUAGCACACUGAAGUUCGCUGAGAGGGUUGCAUCCAUUGAACUAGGGGCAGCUCAAUCUAAUAAAGAAACUGGUGAAAUCCGAGAGCUAAAGGACGAGGUUCGGGUUUUGGUCUUGAAUAGUUCAAUUUUAAAUUAACUUGACCAGUAUUUUUACUCUAGCUUCAACAUUAUAUAGAUAUCAAAUAUGAAAUUGGCUUUGGAGAGGAAGGAAUCCGAACUGGAACAAUGGAAAUCUGGGAAUGCACGAAAUGCCUUAGAAUCUCAAAAAGCAAGAGCAGUUUCACCUUUUCGUUUGCCCCGAAAUGGUACCAAUGGCAGCAUGAAGUCUGAAAAUUCUCAAAGAUCCAUGGAUGAUAGAAACUCUGAGGUCAUUGCAUGCAGAUAUAACUUGUUACAAUAAAUUUGUCUAAAAGGUUAUUAUUUGGACUAUCUAAAACUGAAAUUCUAUUUUCAGGCUAAAAGUUGUUCUUCAGGCAAGCAAAAAAGGUCAAGAUUUCCCUCGGCGUUUGUGGACAAAGACUCCACACCAAAAAUGUCUAUUCCGGCUGAAGAAAGAUCGGUGAACUGGAGGAAGGAUAGGUCACCUUCACCACCAGUUAGGAGAUCAAUAUCCACUGAUAGAGGGUCUGUCAUCAAAAGCAAGGUCAAGAGUGACACAAUAGAGAAUCAAGCAAUAUUAAAACCUCUAUUUCCAGCUAGAAUACCAGUAAAUAAAUCUCUUGCCACAAUGCCAAUGGCUCCAUCUACGGAGAAUAACACUUCUCAAAAUGUCUUCAACCUCCAAAACGUAAACACCAGGAAAGUUUAUCAAGAACAUGAAGAGGAACAGUUGAAGCAAGUAUCUGGUGUGGUAAGACAAGGUGGCAUUAGGAAAAGCAAGGUUGAGCAUAAGGCCAAGGUCAAGCAUCAUCAGCAAUUGCCCAUUAGGAUUCAGAAGGCUGGUCAGGUACCUACAUCAAUUACUGACAUGGAAAAUGCUGGUGAAGUGACUCUGGAGGCACCUCGAAAGAGUGAUUACUCUGAGCCAGAAAAUGAUAUUAGCAUUAUGGGGUCUGCAGUCCACGGUGUGUUAAAUCUUAAAAAGAUACGUCAGAACAUCUCAAGGAAUCCUCAGAACCUUGAAUCAAGGUACAGCUCAAGCAAAUUUUAUAUCAUUCUUUACAAUUCCUGAUAACGCCACCUCAUUUUUACUAUUUCAAACGAGUCAGCUAAUAUUUUACUCCAACCAAUCAAUUCUAAAAAAAAUUCUUAAAUGGACUCAACUGUUUACCCUACACUUUAUAUUUGAUUAUUUAUCUAUAUUUCAUUCAUUUAUCAUCAUAAAAUAUAAAAAUGAGUCCCACAAAAAGCAAAUACCAACUGGUUGCUGCAGUAAGCCACCGGUGGUAUGACAUGAAAAAUCAAGCUGCUAUCCAAGGGUGCAAAUACUCUGAUUGGGGGAUCUGGAUUUAAUGCAGUCAACUGCACAUCACUCACAAAUCCAAGCCGUUUGAUUAAAAUUAGAUGGCUCACAUUUCUAGCAUGCAUUUGUAUUUGAUUUACUAAGAUUCAAUACUAAUCAUUGGAUUAUAAAUUCAAUGGCUAUUGUUGAAUGAAUGCAUCGAUUGUGUAAAAUGUGAUUGCAGUCAAUCUGAAUCCUUGUCUGUGUUGCUUUCCGAAAAGCAACUUUCGUUGGAGAUGCUCUAAAUGAAAAUUUUCAAUUUUCACUUGUUUAGUUGUUUUUUUUUUUUAAAGAUGAUAUUCUUAGCCUCAUUGGUAACCAUGAGUGACCAAUUUUUGUCACAUGCAGAGGGACAGUGAAAGCAGUUGAGCCUUUGUUGUCUAGCAAAGCUGAAAACAAAGUUGUAAUCGGUUCAGGUCGCAAUACUUCCAUGCAUGAAUAUAGAAGGAGCCGAUCUACACCGCGGGGAAAGUUUUUUGUUUUAUCUUGAAGAUUUCAGGUAAAAAAUGUAUUGUUUUCUGUUAUGUAUUCUUGUACAGUGACUACCACUGAUGUGCAUGCUGUAGUGCAAGCUCACAUGAUUUUGUAGAGACUUAGAGAAAGGUUUCAGGUCAGUUUGUGUAACCUUUCUCUAUAUUUGUAUUCUGAUCAUGGUCCUUUUGUAAUUUGAAAUUUCCAAGGUCAAUAUAGUUUACAUCAUGGGGUGUUGUAUGUAGUACACAAUUUUAUUGACAAGGCAUAUUUGCUGCAUUUUAUGAACUCAACCACCCAUAUAAAAUUCAUCAAAAAUCUAAUGGAAGAAAUAAAUAAACUUGUUGGAAGCUUUUUGCCUAGUUAUUGAAUGGCCCUUAACAUUUACAACUUUUUGUGAAAGGAUACAUUUAUGUGUGUUUGUUUCUCUCUUGCACCAAUCCAAACGUGAUUUUACAAAUCUCCCUCACAAAUGGAGAAGUAAGAUUUUGUCAGCAUUGAGGUUAAUGAAAAUCCGGACACACAUAUUGCCUCUACAAAUUGCUCCGGAAUCACGUUUCCAGCAAUUAGAAGUUUGCAAACAUUUAUAAAUCCAAUCAUAAAUUUUUUCAGAUGCUUGUUAGGAUAGAAGUGUAAUAUAAAACUAUUCAUAUUUCCUUUAAAAGUGUUUUCCUUGAAAUUUGAAAAUAUAAUUCCCAAACAAAAUAUGAUUUUUUUUCUCAAUUUAAUGGAAUUAUGGAAACAGAAGCACUGAUAUGCUGCUUUAUAAUAUGAUACUGUGUUUUUUAUUAUGUGAAUAUAUAGUAAUUAGUAUUUAUAACACCCUAUAUUUUAAGAAGCUCCAAAGAACAUCUCGACCAGCAUCUUCUCUUGCUGGUUUUUUUCCAAAUGUGACAUUUACUAUAAUUAGAAACAGCUCAAUUUGUUUUUAUUUUUAUUUUUAUGAAGUUAUGAGACAUUAACCUAUUAAUGGAUAGAAACAAAAAAAAGAAGAAACUUUUGUUGUCAACACCUCAUUGGCAACCUCAGCAUAGAUCUUAUUCCUGAUGGUGGAUCUUAGUUUUCACGUAUUUCCCAGAGUUCCAGCUAUUGCACAUCAUUUCCUCGCGUGGAGAUUCAUGAAGAACCUCUAAUCAAUAACCCCUUUGAAGUUCAUAUGAUUUUGAAUCUACAGGGGUGAAAGAUGAUGGUUCAUUGUUGUUCUAUUUGUAGGAAGCAUCAUCAGUGAGUUUACCAAUCAUAUUUCUCUUCGACAAAACAUCCAUUGGAGGCCAAGGAGAAUCAUCUUUCAAUUCUAUAAGGAAAUCAUAGACAUUUGCACGCUCAAUCCAAAGUUGUCUUGAUUAUAUAAUGUGUAUUUGGAUACCAAUUAAUUGCAGCGCGAAUGAAUUUUCAUUCCAAUAUAUAAGAAUCAUUUAUGAGUUUACCAAUCAUAUUUCUCUAUAACAAGACAACCAUUGGAGGCUAAGGAGGAUCAGCUUUCAAUCCUAUAAGAAAAUCGUAAACAUUUGCAAGCUCAAUCUAGAGUUGUCUCGGAUACCAAUUGAUUGCAACACGAAGAGAGUUUCAUUCUAAUAUAUAAGAAGGGUUUCAUUUUUUCCCCUGAAGUGUGUGCUCGCAUUUGUUUGCACGGGGGCCAGCGAAUAUUCAAAACUAGCCAUAUCCAAUGGUUUAAUCUCUUGGUGAAGCUGUGUCAUUGACCAUUCCAGAGCCCCAUCUAGGAAGAAAGGUUACAUGGAUCAGGCCACAAAUAAAGAUGCCCCUCAGAAUUCUAUCACCUUUGUCUAUCAAACUAAAGUAGCAAGUUCAUUCCGCAGUGUAGUAGUGAUAUGGUGCAAGAACCCCAUAGAGCACUCCCUUUCCAUGACCUUGGAAAACCCUUCUGAAGAAAACAAGUACACCUGCAAGAUUGAUCUAGAAUCAGGGAAAUCAUGGGGGAAGAAGGGUCUCAAAUCCUUUGAAAUAGAAGGUGCAAGGCUAGAUAUUUUCUGGGAUUUUCGACAUGCAAAAUUCUCCACAAGUCCACAACCUUGCUCAGGUUAUUAUGUUGCCUUGGUUUACAAGAAAGAGGUGCUUUUGUUACUUGGAGACUUAGUAAAUGAUGCUUAUGCAAGAACCAAAUCAAAACCAUCACCACAAGAGGCUACCUUGUUGUGCAAGAAAGAGAAUGUGCAUGGGAAGAAGCUGUUUUGCACAAGAGCCAUGUUGGAAGAGGGUAAACCAGAACAUGAUGUUGUCAUUGAGACUUCUCUUUCUGGGCCUGAUGAUCCAGAAAUGUGGAUUAGCAUAGAUGGGAUGUUGGCAAGUAGGAUCAUGAACUUGAAUUGGAAAUUCAGAGGGAAUGAAAUAGUGAUGGUGAAUAAUUUGCCUGUGCAAAUCCUUUGGGAUGUGCAUGAUUGGUUGUUCAAUGACCUUGGUUCAGGCCCAGCCUUGUUUAUUUUCAAGCCAGGCUUCUUGGAGCAUACUAGUGAUUCUAAUAGCAGAGAAUUUACAGAAAGAAGUGAUGAUAAUAACAAACAUGACUUACUAGAGGAAAAUCUAUCCACUAGAAGUUUUUUCCAUUUUCUGUAUGCUUGGAGAACUGUUUGAGAUUCAUUUUGAUAGUAUUCUUCAAAAGUGUUUCAUUUUUGGUAGUAAAAGCGAUACUUUCACACAUUUCCUUCUUUAUUAGCAUUUGACUUAGAGUUAUUAACAUCAUGGUUUCAAUGCCUCUUACGUAUGUUUCUUCCUUUGAGCUAUUUCAUUUGACCAGGGGGUGAGACUCUCAAUUCUUUAAUCAGAUAAGGAUGAUUUUUACUUUGCUGGCCAAUCAAAGUAGAGUUUACUUUUAUAGUCAGUAUUUCUAAAACCUACAUCAAUGUCACUUAAACUGGUUUUGAACAUCCUAGCUAUUAUCGAUUUUAGAACUAUAGAUGACAAAAUGAAGCAUAAAAGCAAGUUUUUAUUGGCUUUAGAGUUAGUCUUGUAAUGCCCUUUUAUUGAUAGAUGCUCCAAACUAUAUACUAGAAGAGAAAAAUGAUCACAUACUCAACCACUUCACCAAGAUAUUCAUAACUAAAAGGAAGCGAAUUUAUCUGUCAUGUGAGAAAUAGAUUUGCACCCAUAAAGGAUACUGGGAAACUAGAAAAUACAUUUCUCAAUCAAAAUACAUAGCCAUCUGAAUUUCUUUCUGCUUGAAUCCACAUUUCUCAUAGAACAACUUGUUCUCAACGCUGCAAUCAAGAAUCACCUUAUAACACCCUACGGAACGAGCGUGAUCCGUGAGGAAGUUGAUUAUUUUCUUCCCCAACUGCUUCCCGCGAACAUUCGAAUCCACAACAACAUCCUCAACAUGCCCAACUUUACCACAAUUCCUCAAAAACUUCUUCUCAAUAAACACACUCCCUGUUGCAACGAUCUUCCCAGCAAGCUCGUCUUCAAUGACGCAGAUAACAUGAUUAUCUCCAAGGGAAGUAAGCUCUCGAAACCGAUCCUCGAAUUCCUUAUCAGAGACAGAAUCACAAACGCUAAGCUGUUGCAGUAACUCUAUGAAACCUUUGCCCUUGUCUGAGAUCUCUAAGUUCCGGACUCUAAACUUUUGUUCCUCACUGUUUUGCAUCUUCCUCAAAUUGAAUAACUAGUUAACUACAACAUCCAUUGAAACCAAGAACAAUGCCAUAAACAACAAUAGAUCAGUUCACACUUCACAAUACCCUAUCAAAUUGGGAACAAUAAGGCUGGUUAAUCUUACCUGAAUAUAAUGUACACAAGACUAGGGCUCAAUCUGACUAUAGCUCAAUCUGGUACUCAAUGCUACCUCUGCAAAAUCAGAAUCUUACAGUUAAAUCAUAAAUUUAUAUCAGACCAAGAUAAUCAAAGCAUGAACAUUAGGUUAUAACAAAUUGAAAUGGGUUCGGUGGAGGUGGCCGAGUUUGAUUUUAUUCUCUGUCUAAAUUAAUAUUUUGAAUUAAAAUAUGGCUUAAAUACUCUAGGGGUCCCUGAAAUUGUACCCCGUAUCAAAAUAAGUCCCUGAAAAUUUUUUUUCCGAUUCCGGAUCCCUGGAAUUGUUUUUUUAAUCAGAAUAAGUCCCUACGCCGGAGAAGACGGUGGUUGACGACGGCGGUCAUGGCGGCGCUACGACCAGGGUGUUGGGCCGGCUUCGUCUCGUCCUCAGGAACUCAGUGGUGGUGGUCUCGUGGGCUGGGUCGUCACAGUUGAAGAGAAAAGGCCAGUCGCAAGUUGAUUUCUUCUCGCCGGAAUUUAUGGAGCUUCUCGGUUUCUUCGUGUUAGCUUUGUUUCUUGCGAUUUCUUCGCCCAGAUCAGAUAUAUGAAGGUCUAAGAGUGUUUUAAACAUGUUAUUUCAUGGUUUGUGGAAAUAAUGAGGAGGCAACCACUGUCUUCUCCGCAGUAGGGACUUAUUUUGAUCAAACAAAUUUUUCUAGGGACCCGGAAUCGGAAAUUUUUUUUUCGGGGACUUAUUUUGAUACGGGGUACAAUUUCAGGGACCUACAGAGUAUUUAAGCCUUAAAAUAUUAAAAAAUGUUUUUUUUUCUGACAAAAAAGUGCUAAAUAAAAAAACAAAAGUGGGCUAGCCUUGUUCAGCCCAUAUCAUUGGUGGGGCUGAAUGGCCCAUAUUCAAAAAUGCCCUUAACACAUUUUGGUCAUUUUUCAUUGGAAUAUAUUAGGCUUUGAUCUAAAUGGUUGAUCCUUGCAAGUUGCAUGUAACCAGCAUUUAGAAAUUUAUAAUUGUUGUUAUGAAUCCUUGCUUCAUAGUUCUCUAGUUGAUCUUUUUAUGCUGCUCAAUUGGAAUCAUCUAGUUCACUGAAUCUUCUUCAGCAGUCAAAUUUUUUCUAUUCUUGUCUUCCUAGAGCUAUUUUUCACAAAGAAAAACAGAUAACCCACAUAUUGUAUUUAUAUAAAAUAGUUUAGGACCAUCCUCCUUUAAUUAUACAAUUACAAGAAACUCGAAAUAUAUUAAUUCUAUAAGACCUUUGGUCUGAUGGUUCCAAUGAAAGGAUCUCUAUAAGCAUUCCACUGAUAAUUCAGACAUACAAGUUACGCUAAGUAAGAUACUUAUCUCACCCAAACAUAUUAAAUGUCACAAAUCAGUUGUGGCAUCUGUAAUAGUAGCAUUCAAAGGGAAUGCCGGUAAUAACACUUGCCACAAUUUCACAAUAUCACUACCAUCAAAAAUACUUUUUUUUUGUAAACUAGUGAAGCUUAUAAUAUACUAGUCAAUAGCCCGUGCAAUGCACGGGUUGUCGGCUUAUAUUAUUUUUAAAAGUUAAUGCUUUGGUUUAUUUCUUAGUAUUAUUUAUUAAAAAAAAUAUUUGGAAUUUGGAAACUUCACUGAUAAACUAAAUUUAUUAAAUAGUACAAAUUUAUAGGAUAGAGAUAUGGAGAUAGAACUAAUUUUUGAAUCUGAAUUUGAAGAAUUGCUAACCAAUUUAAAGAGAAUUGCAAACGAAUUUAUAGGAGUUAAAAUAAAAAUUGAAAAAAGGAGAAAUACCGCAAUUUGAGGAAUUUCGAGAAGUUUUAGCAAUUUGUUACGUUGAGAAUAUAAAGUCAUGAUAGAAUGAAUAAUUAAGAGUUGUAUUGAGGGAAAAUGAAAAACCAGCAAAGGGUAUGGAGCGUGAAUGGCACGGAUGAAUGUAGUAGAGAGAUGUAGUUAAAAAUUGAGAAAACUAAUGAAGUGGAUAAAUAUGAGGGAGGGUGUGGAAUUUGAGUGCCUCACUCUCUAGAAUGAGAUCUCAAAUUUAUUAGAUAACAGAGUUGAUAUUGGAGAAAAAUGUUAAUAUGAAAUUUUUUAUAUUUAAAUAGCAGUACAUAUUCAUCUCUUAAGAAGAAAAGUGUAAUUUUAAAAUAAAAAUUGACUUUUAUUAAAGGAGAGUAUAACUUACACAUAACCUUUUGGUUCUUGAUGUCAUUUUGCGACGGAAAAAGCGUACACACUUGGUGACGGAUUCAAUUUCAGAUGAAUAUACUCUUUAUAUCCUCGAUAUUUAACCCUAUAAUCUUUUUUAUUUUUGAUCAUCACAAAUAGUGGGAAGCUCUUGGUAACUAGCCACAAAUUUUGGCUACAUGACGAUGAUGGCAACUUUCGCGGCAAAUAUUGGCUUCAAAAUCUCUCAUCAGUUUCCGUCUCGCGUUUUUUCAACUGCCCGGUGAGUAAUUCUCAGUUGGGGUAUCAAAAUGACACCAAAGUUUGAUUUUUUCAUUCUAAUUAUGUAAUGGAGUUCUAAUUUAGCUACCCAAUUGGUUGUGUUGCAUUGACUUGAUGUCAAUUCUCAUAAAAGACUCAGCUUUUAAUAGGGAUAGAUAGAUUUUGAAAUUUUUUGGCUUUGAUUCUUACCCUUCUUCUUUUUUUGUUAAAAAUAGGAUCUUUUGGAGGUUUCAGAUUGCUUGCUUGAAGAGCAGAGAGUUUAGUUCUUCUGUUCCUGCUAGGUACAUUCCUAAAUCACCUGAAACUGCUCUGCCAGUGAAAAGCCUAGAAAGUUCUAGCUUCCCUGAUGUUAGUGUGCCCAAGAUAAAUGGUGGAAGUGAGGCUAAUUCAACUAUUGCACAUUAUGGAACUUCUCGCAAUCCGGAUGAAGUUCACACUGACUUGCUCUUUGAUGACAAUCAAGAAGGUAAACUGCUUUCUAACAACUUCUAGUGUGACAUAUAGUAGUUCAUUAUUUCGGGGUUAGUUUUGCUUUACUAUACACUAUUGCCUAUUCGUGGCUCGCUAAUCGCCAAAGAUUUGUGAUUUUAAGCAUUUCAAUUAUAUUUGAUGCCGGGCAUGUGAUUGAAGAUACAUUAUUUUUUUAUAGUGACAUUGGAUAAAUACACAAGUCCUGAUAUUCUUUAGAUAGACCUGAUAUUUUAAAUACAUAAGAGAUUAUUCACUUCGGGGUUUGGAGGUCUCAUUGUGAUUGAUAAGUCGAAUAAAAUUGAACUUAAUUUGAUAAUUAGCAACAUAAACACGGAAGAAAAGUCAAGCGUGGUUGUCUUGUGGUUAACUAAGUUAAUUUUCUCCAGCUCUCAUAUGAUCUCCUCAACUGUUAAGAUCGAGGAUUGAUGAUAGGUUCAUGCUUCUAGAUUCACCGUGUUCAUUUUUUCUGAGAUACAAAUUAACACAUGUUGUCUUGUUAGAACCUGUUUUAGCUCUCAACUUGGGCUUCUUUUUACCAAUCUGUUUUAAUGGAAUAACCGGAUGUAGAAUCAACCAGGAUGAUUAGAAAUGAUAUUGCACAUAAAACGUGUAUAAUAUAGGAAGUGAAGUUGUUCUAAACAUCUUAAUUUGUGGAUUGUAGGUUCUGAGCAGAUGGAAGAGGUUGGAGAGUUGACAAUCCACCUGGCAGGAGACGCGUGUGAAAAGGAUUUAAUACAAACUGACAAAUUUACCAAUGAUGUUGAGCAAUCAGCUAUUAAGCUACUUGCAGUUAGGUUAAUGCCCCCUGCCCUGAAAACAGAAGUUAUUUAAUGCUAGACUUGUUAUGUUAUGUUAAGUAUGGUCAACAAAAUCACGAGCAUGAUGUUUCCUUGUUCAGUGCAAGAGAAAUCAUUUUUAUCAUGCUACUAUGAGUUUACUGUAAAUAUGCCAUUUUGCUUCUCUCUUUGCAUGGUUUGUUCAUAACACCAACAGUAAAUUGCCACUAUGCUUACUGCUUCCUGUUGAGAGAACUGCCUUUUGAUUUUGACUCAGUAUAUCAAGUAUUUGCCUUCUCUCAACACUGCCAUUAAGAUUUUUGAAGAAAACUGAUGAUAUGCUAUGAGCCUAUAACUGAAAGCUAAAAAAUUAUUUUAAAGCAUAGGCAUUUUAUUUCGCAUUUUUUUAAACUAUCUGUUUAAAAAUAUCCCAUAUUUAUCUUCAACCUUAAAUUUCAUCUUGAUUGGAGUAGUUUGCAUAUCAUUAUAUCAAUGAAUAGGGUAAUUCUGAAUGAAGCAUAGCUUACUUGGCAUGCCUUUUGAAAAAUUUAGCAAAUUGUUAGAAACAAUUAAUUUCCUGAAUUUGUGUUUCUUAGAAGUUAAGGGAAUAAGUUCUGUGAUAACUGAUAAUUCAAGUCAACUUAUAUCUUUUGCCAGUUGGGAGUGUGUGCAAUCUGCAUUUACAUUUAAUGUGAAAUGCGGUCUUUUAUUAAGCUUGCCUGUCUCUCUGCUCUGCAGGGCACUCACAGCAGUCGAGUUAAGAAAAAAAUUGCUUGGAAAGAGAUUUUCUCCUAAUGCAGUGGAGGCAGUGAUAAGCAAGUUGCAGAGAAAGUAUGUUGUUAACUUCAUGUAAAAUCUGUUCAGCUGUUAUUUACCAGCUACUUUUAUAUGAACUUUACCUGAAUCUCUACAUGCUUCCAGACAACUACUUCCUCAACUUGGUUCCCAUAAUGUUUUAUUUAUGGACAACAAAAUGAGAGUAAUAUGUGUUAUUUGAUUCCUGGCCUUGAAAAUGAGAUGCCUGCAAUUAGAGAUGCAGUUGGUUAUCAUGACAAUGAUUUGGAAUGCAGCUCUAGCCAACUGUUAAUUCAGUCAUUGUGUCUAACUGGAUGUAGAGUAGUAGUCAAAAAAUGAUUGUUUUGGACAUUUUAGAGUAACCCACUUUAUGCAGUUGGGAGUAAUGAGUAUGUUUAUUUACAAUUUUAACUUCGAAGUCGUUGUUACAUGGAGCUCUUUUUUUUUAAUGAUAGGUAACAAUUGCCACCACUUUUUAAGUUCUUAGUGUUCAGAAAAUUUAUAUUAAAUUUGAACACAUAAUUAAUUUAUGUAUGCAAAUAAAAUUCCCUUCUUAUUUAAAAUAACCUGUCAUAUCUCAUAUAAGAAUUAUUCAUUUUGCAAAAGUUAUCAUAAACUUUCUCUUCUGUUUGACAAAUAAUUACCUUGUCUUGUGUAGUACUUUUCAUAAUGCACCUUUUCAAGUUCAUUUAUAAAACAUGAAUUCGCAAACAUUUUUAUACAUGUUGUGGAUUUGUGGUGAUCCUUUAAUCCCUUUAUUUGUACCAGAGGGUUUAUCAAUGAUAGGUUGUAUGCUGAAUCAUUUUCUCAAUCUAGAUGGUCUUCAUCAAGUUGGGGGCCAAGGAGGAUCAAACAAGUAAGCUAGUCCAUAUUGUACUUUUGUUCAGCCUGUUACUUUUUUGCUUUCUUAUACAUUGCCUCACUGCUAUUCCAUUCUGUCUUUUUCCUUGCUAUGUCAUUAGUCUCGUUGCCAAGCAAAAGAGGAAAUGAUUCUGUCAGUAUUAUGCUUCUGUUGUGCUUUCUAAGUUUAAUUACAUCUUUUCCUGCUUGACUUGUGUUAUAGUUUAUUUUACUUGGUGAGUUGCUUGCCAAAUGCAAAGUUCCCACCCAAUAAUUUUAAACUAAACUUAUAAUUUAUCUGAUUGAAUGCUUUUAAAAAAUAUUAAAUAUAAUAAUAAUAAUCAUACGUGUGUUUCAUUUUAAAUUUGAGUUUAUAGAUUGCACGGUGGGUUUAAAACAGCAACCUUUAAUUCUUUAAUUUAAUUAUGAUACUUAAUUUUUUUUUUUGAAACGAUACUUUAAAUCAUAACUACACAAUAUAACAUUAAAAACGGAAAAAUCACAUGAGAAUAUGAUAGUAUGACUUGGUCUUUUGAUUGUUUCUCACUACUUCAGCAAAAUAGGAAGAGAAUCCGGAGUCAAAAUAAGAGUACCAGAAAAAUAGGAUAUUUGCUAUAACAGAAUGGAACAAUUUGCACUAUAAGAAUGAAUGUUAUCUCACUCUUGAAGCAAUUCACCGUUCGCAAUUCUCACCUUCACCAUUCACGAUUCUUUUUCUUCUUCUUCUCCUUCUCAGAAUCUCCAUUUGCGAUUUGAGAUCCUCCAUUGACGCUCAAUCUGCAGCUCUCGUCUUAAAGUAUGUACGUGUGUCUUCUUUUUGUUCUCACAAGUUUAUGGAAUGCUCUCCAUUUUGUGAUUUCUGAUUUAUUUCUAAUUUUGCAUUUUGUUUCUCUUUGGAAUCACAGAUUAAGAUUAAGCAGAGAUUCUCAGGAGUGGGAACCUUAACAUUGUUAGCAAAUAUCCUAUUUUUCUGGUACUCUUAUUUUGACUCCGGAUUCUCUUCCUAUUUUGCUGAAGUAGUGAGAAACAAUCAAAAGACCAAGUCAUACUAUCAUAUUCUCAUGUGAUUUUUCCGUUUUUAAUGUUAUAUUGUGCAGUUAUGAUUUAAAGUAUCAUUUCAAAAAAAUAAUUAAGUAUCAUAAUUAAAUUAAAGAAUUAAAGGUUGCUGUUUUAAACCCACCGUGCAAUCUAUAAACUCAAAUUUAAAAUGAAAUAUAUGUAUGAUUAUUAUUAUUAUAUUUAAUAUUUUUUAAAAUUAUUAUAUUUAAAUAUAAUAAACCGGGCUGCCGUUUUUUUAAUGGACUGCAAUUGUGUUGCCAGGCACUGUUCAAGAAGGGAGUUAGUCGAGCUGAUGCUGAAAAGGCACUUGAAGUGGUUUUUGAGGACAAUGAUUGUGCUGAAGAUCAUCAGUCAAUUAUUGGAAUGUCAAAGCAGUCCAUGGAUCAUCUUUAUGCUCAGGCCUCAAAGCAGUGGCUCAGAUGUCAGAAUGUACCCAAGGAGACAAGAAAAUCAAGGAUUGUGAGGUGGCUUCAAUACCGCGGAUUUGACUGGAAUGUCACUAGCUUCAUCUUGAAGAAAUUAGAGAGGCAGGAGCAGAAUCCUCCAUAGUGCACACAAUAGGGACAUCCAAAGUUCAUACCAAUCUGGAAAUCCAAUGGCGGGGUCCGUACAAGUUUCUUGUAUUGUUUAGUGUGUAAAAGGGUAGGGUUGAAGCCUCCAUUGACUCAUAAUGGUGUUGCAAACAAACUAGCAUUUGAUUGCUUCAAUGUGCUCUAGGCCAUAUGGAAUCGGAGCACACAAGACUAUUCUUGUCUGAGUACAUUGAAGCUACUUUUUUUUACACUCAGGCUGAGAUAAGGAACAAGCACCACUGAGGACUGAGGAGGUUCUACUUGUGAUCCACUUGUCUGGCCAGUCUUGGAGAUAAGCAACUCUUUGGUACUCUUGUAUUACUGAAGUUUCGUGCUCAAAGAAGUUACAAUGCUAUUUAUUGGUUAAUUUAUUUGAUCUGAAUCAUGUUUAUGAGAAAUUGUAUUGAACCUCAUCAGCUUCAAGUUCUUGCAAAUAUUAUUUCCAACUUUUUCAUUUUGGCAAUAUGCCCCUUCAACUAAAAAAAUGUUAUAAUAGUUGAUUUUUUUUGUUAAUAAAAACCGGUCCGAGGCUUCAUAAGAAAAAAACGUAGUUCAGGCUAUGAUUUUUUUUACGGGUAGUUCAGGCUAUGAUUUAGGGAAAAGAAGCUAAUACUCAGAAAUGAAAUGUCUAAACUUUGCAAUUUUUGUACUAAAGGUUAUUUGGAUGAAGGGGGUUCAAAAUUAUUUGGGUGAAACAAGGGUUUUCACCGCCGAUAACAAUGACUAAUUCUUUUGCUGCGGGUGCUCGCACUAAGCUGUAAACAGCUGACCACAAUAUUUGAUAAUGAGUGUUUUAAAUUGCAUCAUCUUAACGAUGGUUGAAAAAUAUUUGAUACAUCUAUUAAUUAUUUUUAAUUUCUUAAGUAUAUUAAACAAAUUGUGUUUUGAUAUAAGACAUAAUUUUCUUUAUGUUAGUUAUUUUGUAUGUUUUGUUCCCUUAAUCACUGUCUCAAGGAUUUUUGUUAAUAUUUGCUUUUUAAUUUUAGCAAAAUUAUAAUAAGCCUAAUAUUAAUUUCAAUCUUAAUUUCUAAUGGGAAACUAGAACUUAACUCAUCUAAAGUGAGUGAACUCAUACUUUGUUUACGAAAGAACCCAUUAAAUAUGAUAAAAGCUUUUUGCCUUUUUGAAUAAUGCAGAGAAUUUGUUGAACCUUGCAUAUGAUGGAAAAUUCCCUUGCUCACUUUGCAAUUUGGAAAUGCUGCAUGACUAUCAAUUUGUUAUGCACGUUAUCUUUCAUUCCAGCAUAUAAUGGUCCUGCAGAUGCAUGUGCAUAUGACUUAGGAUAUUCAGUCUUUGAAUCAAAAUUUAGCAUAUGUGCUUCUGGAGGAGUUUCCAAUCGCUUCAAAGUUUCUUUCUAACAGAACCUGUUACAUGUGGGGUAUUGAACGUGGGACCAUGUGAGCACUGUUUGAAGUGAGCAAUUUGAGCUGGCUUAGGUGUGUUUGUAUAUGUGUAAAUUCUAAUACAAAUAUCCAAAAAAAAUCAAUCAUUGUUUCAAUUUCCAAACGCUCAUAUGUUGCUAUCUUCUAUUAAAUGUAAUGCAAUUAAAGUGUGAUUAGAAAUAACUACUGUCUAAAUGGUUAGUGGGGUUAAUUACCCUUGAUUGGCUGUAAUAGUAUAAAUAGGUGAGAGAGUCAUUAACUGCAUUGACUCUAUUGAUUACAGAAAUAAUAAGAAUUGAGUUUUCCCCAAUUUUGAUUCUCUCUCUCUUUUCCUUCUGUUUUCUUGCUUUCUGGAAUAAUCAAUUCCAACAAACUGGUAUCGAGAGCUAUUGUUCGAUCUAAGGGUCACGACUGCGGCGACGAGGGUUGCGACGGCGAAGAAGGUUGCGCUGUGGCGAUAGGGCGGUGCGAUUCAAGUCCGCGACGAUAUCGUCUUCUCCGGCAAACCACACACGGUGGUUGAAAUCAUUCGCCAACACCGAUUCUCGAUCUUGAAGCCAUUCACUUCUCAUCUUCUUGCGAUGACAUCCACAGGGAAUUCAGGUUCAGGGUUCUCAGCGAACAUCCCAAUUCUUGAUGGUAAGAAUUGGAACAAGUGGAGUGUCAAGAUGAAAGCUGUAAUGGGGUUUCAAGAAGUUCUGGAAAUUGUGGAAGAAGGGUUCACAGCGCCGGCAGAGGGUGCUACUGAAGCUGCGAAAACGUUGUACAAAGAGCAAAAGAGGAAAGAUUUCAAGGCUAUCUGCUUGCUUCAUCAAGGAGUAGAUGAUGCACACUUUGAGAAAAUCUCAAGUGCGAAAUCCUCGAAAGAAGCCUGGGGAAUCUUGGAAAAAUGCAAUGAGGGAGCGGAACAAUUAAAGAAAGUUCGAUUGCAGACACUGAGGCGUCAAUAUGAGUUGAUGCAAAUGGAGGCUAAUGAGAAGAUAGCACACUAUUGCAAUCGGGUAGUGAGCCACACAAAUGCAAUGAAGGCAUGUGGUGAAACUAUCACAGAUCAAUCUAAGAUGGAGAAGGUUUUGAGAACCUUAACACAAAAAUUCGAUCAUGUUGUAGUUGCUAUUGAGGAAUCCAGGAAGCUUGAAACCUUGACAAUAGAUGAUCUUCAAGGAUCAUUGCAAGCUCAUGAGCAAAGGCUCAUGGAGAGGACCACUGAGAAGUCUGGUGACCAGGCAUUACAAGCACAAACCUUCAAGAAGGGUGGCUAUGGAGGAAAGAGUGGUUACAAAGGUCGAGGCAAGGGCAAGGAGUUCUACAAGGGUGGAAGCUCAAAAGGGAUUCAAAGCAAUUAUCAACAAGAUGGUGGUGAGAAAUCUGAUCAAAAUCAUCAAGACAACACUAAGAAAGGUGGAAACAAGAAUUGGCGCGGUACAGGAAAGAAGAUUGAUAGGAAGAAGCUCAAAUGUUACAAUUGUAACAAAAUUGGGCAUUUUUCGAAUGAGUGUAAAGCACCACCACAGCAAGCUGAUCACAGAGGUAGUCAACAUGAAGAAGCACACAUGGUGAAGGAAGGAUCUGAGGUAAGUAGUGAUGAUCAACCCCUUACUCUCAUGAUGCUCACCAAUGAUAGUGAUAGAAAUAUAAAAAGAUGGUACUUAGAUUCUGGCUGUAGCAAUCAUAUGACUGGAAAUAAGGAUUGGCUUGUUAAUCUUGAUUUCCCUAGAAAAAGUUCAGUGAGAUUUGCUGAUGGGAGAAUAUUACAUGCUGAAGGAACUGGUGAUGUAUGUGUUAGAAGGAAAAAUGGUACUAAUGCAAUCAUAGCUGAAGUCUUGUAUGUUCCUAAGAUGGAGAACAAUCUGAUAAGUCUAGGACAGUUGGUAGAAAAUGGCUUUUCUAUUGACAUAAAGGACAAGUACCUAGAUGUGUAUGAUAGAAACAUGAAGAAGAUCAUUAGAUCUCCUUUAUCAAGGAACAGGACUUUCCAAGUUGAUGUCAAAGCACUUGAAUCCCAGUGUUUAUCAGCUUCUGUUUUGACUGAAGACACUUGGCUUUGGCAUCUCAGAAUGGGCCACUUGAACUUCAAGGAUCUUGCACUGCUCAAGACCAAAGGUCUUGUUACAGGAUUGCCAACCAUUUCUGUUCCUCAGAAGAUUUGUGAUAGUUGCUUAGUCAGUAAGCAACCUCGAAACUCUUUCAGUUCCUAUACAACUUCCAAAGCAAUGGACAUUCUUCACAUGGUGUAUUCAGAUGUGUGUGGUCCUUUUGAAGUACCUUCCUUAGGUGGAGGCAAGUAUUUCAUCACCUUUAUAGAUGAUUUUAGUAGAAAAAUCUGGCUUGAUGUGAUACAAACCAAGGAUGAAGCUUUUACAAGGUUUAAGAUCUUCAAGAACUUGGCAGAGAAGCAAUCAGGAAAGUUCAUGAAGAUAUUAAGGACUGAUGGUGGAGGAGAGUUUACUUCCACAGAGUUUGAGAACUACUGUCUUGAACAUGGUAUUAUGCAUGAGGUGACUGUGCCCUACACUCCACAACAUAAUGGAGUGGCAGAAAGAAGGAAUAGGACAAUUCUUAACAUGGUUCGAAGCAUGCUCAAAAGUAAGAACCUACCACAUUGUUACUGGGGUGAGGCAGCCACAACUGCUGUCUAUGUGUUAAACAAAUGUCCUACAAAGAGACUCCACCAGAAAGUUCCAGAAGAAGUAUGGUCAGGGCAUAAACCUUCAGUGAGUCACUUCAGAAUUUUUGGUUCACUUGCAUAUAGGCAUAUUCCUGACCAGAAGAGGAAGAAACUUGAUGACAAAAGUGAGAUGUUGAUCUUCAUAGGCUACAAUCCUACUGGUUCAUAUAAGCUGUACAAUCCCCAAACUAAGAAGGUCUUAUUCAUUAGGGAUGUCUUCUUUGAUGAGACUUCCACUUGGCAUGAAAUGAAAGAUAAAGCCUCAAAGCCUAACUCAGUGCAUCUAGAGUUAAUUGAAGACUCAUCUACCGAACCAAACCAAGUCAGAACUCUGGGGGAUAGGUCACCAGUGGUAUACACACCACAGUCAGCAAAUAAUAGGCCUUCAAGGCUUAUAAAUUUGCCUCCAAGACUGAGAGAUUAUCAGCUGUUCUCAUAUGACAUAAUUGGAGAAGAUGGUGAUAUUGUUCAGCAUAUGGCUCUUCUAGCUGAGAGUGAACCUGUUAGCUUUGAUGAAGCAAUUACCAAUGACAUAUGGAAGCUUGCAAUGAAGGAAGAACUUAGCUCCAUAGAAAAGAACAAGACUUGGGAGAUUGCUGUUUUGCCACCUGGAAAGGUUCCCAUUGCAGUUAAAUGGGUGUUUAAGGUGAAGCUUAAACCUGAUGGAACAAUUGCCAAGCACAAAGCUAGACUUGUUGCCAAAGGUUUCAUGCAGAAAGAGCGCUUAGACUUCUCAGAGGUCUUUUCUCCUGUGGCCAGACUUGAGACUGUAAGGAUCAUCAUAGCUAUUGCUAGCUGGCAUAAGUGGAAUGUGUCACAAUUAGAUGUUAAAUCUGCUUUCCUAAAUGGACCUCUUGAGGAGGAGGUCUAUGUGUCACAACCACCUGGUUUUGCAGUCAAAUGUCAAGAGGAUAAAGUUCUAAGACUUAAGAAAGCUCUAUAUGGGCUUAAACAAGCUCCAAGGGCAUGGAACAAGAGAAUAGAUGGUUUCCUUGCUAGCUCUGGAUUCAAAAGGUGUACUGUGGAACAUGGAUUAUAUGUGAAGUUCCUUGCUGACAACAGUGUACUCUACAUAUGCUUAUAUGUAGAUGAUCUUCUCAUAACACUACUAGAAAAACUAGUUUUCACAUCGGGUAUUUUUGAGUUUUAACAUCGGUUUUUAUCCGAUGUAAACAAUGUUGAUGUGGUAUCUCCUAACCUUUUCACAUCGGGUUUAUAACCGAUGUACCUUUCACAUCGGUUAAGUCAACCAACUGACGUGAAAUGUACACUUUUCACAUCGGUUCAGUCAGCCAACCGAUGUGAAAUGUAUACCUUUCACAUCGGUUCAGUCAACCAACCGAUGUGAAAAGUAUACAUUUCACAUCGGUUAGACAAAAAACCGAUGUGAAAAGUCACAUCGGUUAGACUAAAAACCGAUGUAAAUGCUCAACCAUUUUUUUUCUUUUUCUUUUUUUUUUACACGAAUUUGACCUGAAUAUACAUAUUUUUUUUAAAGAAAAUUUAUUAAAAUAAAAAGAGAUCUUGAGAACACACUCUCUCAAGUGAGUUAAACAUCCAAGGUCCCAGCAAAAAAAAAAACAUAAUAGCCUAAAAGAACUAGAACAAUUCAGCAAUUCUAGUUCUUUAAAUGUAGUUAAACAGCAACAACUCAUGAAAUUAGGACAAAAUAGUUAAACAGCAACACAGCAACAAUUCAGCAAAACAGCAACAGUUCAGCAAAUUAAUGCCCCAAGCAGGAAAGCCACCAGCACCAUAAGCAUAAAUUAGGAGAGCAGCGGAGGUGAGCAACUUUGAACCCUAUAUAAACAGCAACAAUAAUUGGAGACAACAGAAUUUUCAGCAGAAAAAGACUAUCAAUACCCUUUGUUCUUUAUGUUCCUUUAGUCUUUAUAAACUCUGCAAUUUGCUUCUUAAUUAAGAAUCUUUCAAUAGUAACUUGAUGGGGAAUCAUGGCUAUUUAUUCUAGGGAAGAUGUGGGACUGCUUGGACUAACCUGGGUCGGAAUUCAAAGAGUAGUUCAGAUUAGGUUAUCUUUGGAUCCCUAAAACUCAAAAGCUACUACUGCCAAAUGUCAUGAAUAUGGAGAAGAAUGGUCAUAACUAUCCCCUAAGUGCGUCAAAGAACAAAAUGAUUUCGGCAUAUUCUUGGCAAAGCCAAGAUCUUAAGAACAACACAGGAAAAAAAACCUAAUAGGUUGGUGCUCAGCUACUAAGCCAAAUAACUUCUCUGAUCUCUAAGCUAUGGUGGAAAUUAGAGAAACAGUAGCCCCAAUAGCUAAAUAUAUCUACAUCCCCACCUCAAAGAAUUCAAAAACAUGGAAGUUUCACAACCAAAAUAGACAUACAAAUUUACAUCCUCAGCAAUCAAAACAUAUCCAAAUCUAAAAGGAGAAUAGCAUUCUAAUGGAGACUAUAGAAGAGAUGAGAUUGUUUAGAAGAAUAUGCAAACAAGAGUACACACACUAAUAUAAAGAUAUAGAUUAUAAAGAAAACAAAAUAUAAAUCAGAAAACCAAUAUAAAGAUGCAGAGAAAUCAUAUCUUAAGGAAAAUCAACAUAUAUAUAUAUAUAUAUAUAUAUAUAUAUAUAUAUGCAGAUGAAUAAAAAAAACUAAUAUAAAGAUAUAGAUUAUAAAGGAAACAAAAUCAGUACUUUAUUGAUCCUAUGAAUGGAAAACAGGAGCAUAAAAGACUAAGAGGAGUAUAAGGUUUGGUAGUGCUUUUAUUUGCGAAUCUACUAUUAUAGUUUAGUUGUGUUCUUAUCAUUUUUCUGGUGAAAUGCAAAAAUUAUUACUGGUAUUAUAAUGAAGGUUGCUCUCUCAAGUCGGAAGGUAAGAUAUAAUCACUAUCCAAAGCCACUUAAAUCCCAAAAAUCACAUGUAGUAAAAUCAGUGCUAAACACACGAAAAUAGUCCUUAAAUGAUAAAUUUACUUUUCUUUCAACAGAACAGUUAACAACUGAAGCUGAAUUGUUUCUAAGAGAAAGUUAAAUUGGUCUAUUCACCUCCAAUGUUAAUGACAGCAUUUCCAGCAGUUCCGAAGAGACCAGGAGGAGCAUCACAUCAUAUUUAGUCUCCAGAAGGCAGCUUUUAAUAUAUUGGUGAACUUUGCUUAAUCUUCUUAGCUUGAGGAAAUCUGAACUACAAAACACAAAAGACAAUGAGAAGCAGUUAUUUCCACAAUGAAAUGAAUAUUUAACAAACUAAAUUUUAUCUUUACAUCUGAAUGUUACUCUUCUACCACCAUAACCAUGUGACGAAAAACUACUAAUUCUCAGUAAGAUGUUAAAUUAAACAGAAGAUUAAGCCCACCUUGGAUGCCUUUAAGCUUAAAGUUAAGUAAAAUAGAUCAACAUGUAACUUAUGAUCCCAAAGUCUUAUCAAUUGAACCGCAACAGAGCACCAAUGAGUACUUAUGUAUGUAUCUUAUGGCCAAUCUAUAAGUUGUUUAAAUGAGGGUAUAUAAAUCCCUGUAUAAUCAGUAGAAUGAGGGUAUAUAAAUCCCUGUACAAGUUGAGCUCUUUAACAGAAAUAGAAUUAGUUAGAGCCUGAGUACGGAAACUAACCCACUAAAAGUCUAUUCACAUAAUAAAUUAUCAGCUUGUAAUGACCAAGUAUAUUGCAUACUCUAACAGAAUACAAUAUAUCAUGGAAAAGACUUCUCAGAAACCAACUACCCUUGAGCUCUGAUCACACACCUCUCUUUCAUUCAUGGGUACAUUGAAAAUAUUUACUCAAUCCAACUAUUCAAGUGUAUAACCACAUGCCUAUGAAUCAAUCAAUUCAAAAUCAAGUGAAUCAGCAUCUGCAAAAUGGUGAGACCUUAAAGUUGUAUUAUGGCUUAGAGUAUCAUGCAGAGUAGAAAGAUGAAAGAAUGAAUGUUCAAAAGACUACAAAAUUCAUUUCCUUCAUAAAUGAUAUUUUAUAAGGAUGCAUUUAAUCACAUUUUAUAUAUCACAACUGUAACAUAUUCAUACAAAUCCUAAACUGUAAUAUUUUCAGCUCCAACAAUUAUUUUACAAGGGCAUAGUUUCAUGUACUAGUAAGAUUUAAAUCCAUAACUAAAUUACGAAUGCCCCUUAGCAGUUAGCACUUGCUAAAUCCCAAUGGCUUAACUAAACUACUUCUAGUUCAACCCAGUGGUUACAAACUAACUGACUACUAAAACAGAAUAGAAACGGUAACUGAUAUACAGCUAUUUUCUAUUUAGAGUAAGUUUUCUAACUGAGCUUGUGAGAGCUCAAUAGAUCAAGAAAACCCCAAAAUGAGACUGGUAACAUAAGUAUCACACAUACAAGAUGACUCGAAAGGAUACAAGUGCUUUGUAUAUAGUUUUCUUAGGAAGAUCCCAAAGCUUUUUCCAUGAAAGACUUCAAAGUAGACACCAAUUUUUCAUGGUCAGGGCUAUUGUCUCUUAUGAUCGGAACAUCCAUGAAAUUGUUAAACCAUGUAUGCAAGCGAGGGAAACUCUCAAACACAUCUCCUAAACCUACAAGAAUUUUCACAAAAGACCCAAAAGCUAUGUCCACAAUGUUAAAAGUGUCUCCUCCAAAGAAUUUCACAAAACUGAACAAGAGCAGUCUGGAACACAAAUCGAUUCGAAGCAGGAACACAAAACCAACGACGCCACCACCAACGGAAGAGUCGAAGAGGUUUAAGAUUAGGGUUUUGAUUCACAUCUCUCAAGAAUUGAAUCCCAGGAACGGAAACUGAAUCACAGUAACAUAAUUUAAUUGAGAAGAAGCAAAUAUACGUCGAUUAAAAAAGAAGGAAAAAGACCAUUGUACCUGAAGCCAAACGCACAACAAUCGAAACCAAACAAGGAAUGUGCGGCGGAGUCGGAGGGCGAGGCGGUGGGGCUGAAUGUUGGUUUCACUUUAUCACAGUUCAUGAAAACUCGAAACCAAACAAGGAAUUGGAAUAUUCCGCGAAAACAACCCUUUGAUAUAAGGAAGUUUCAAGAAGGAGGAGUAACGAUUGGUUUAAUUGGAAUUGGGAAUCUGAGACGAUGAAAAGCGCUUACCAUUGCCAGAGAGAUCAAAAUCACGAAGUAGAGGAGUGGAAUGAGAGGUCGAGGUGAUUGACGUGGCAGAAGGAGGUCGGGAAACGGUGGAGGAAGCUCCGGCGUUAGAGAAGAGGUGAUGGUUGUGACUUAGGUCGGGAAACGGUGAAGGAAGUUCUCGAAGAAAAGAGGGACUUAGGUUUUUUCGUGAAUGGAUGAAGUACUUUUCACAUCGAUUAUAACCGAUGUGAAAAAUAAAGAAAAGAGAGACUUUUCCCAACGGUUAUAUUAUAACCGAUGUGAAAAGUACUUCAUUAAAAUUUCAAAAAUGUCACCGCAUUCAGCUUUCACAUCGCUUAUUGUAUCAACCGUUGUAAAAAAUGUUUACUAACUACUUUUCACAUCAGACAUGUUCCCAACUGAUGUGAAAACUCUCAUAAAAGUUUACUAUAAUUUCAAUAUUGCCACCGCGUUAUCUUUCACAUCAGGUAUUUCAUCCACCGUUGUGAAAACCCUGAUGUGAAAAAUACUUUUUCUAGUAGUGUAACUGGAAGUAAUGUGAGUGAAAUUGAGAAGCUGAAGAAUCUGCUGAAAGGUGAAUUUGAAAUGACUGACUUGGGCACUUUAUCCUAUUUUCUUGGAUUGGAAGUAAUCCAAACUGACAAAGGUUUAUUCAUGAGACAGAAGAAGUAUAUCUCAGAAGUUUUGAAAAGAUUUAACAUGUGGGGAUGCAAUGCUACUGAAACUCCUUCUGAAUCUAAUUUGAAGCUAGACAAGUGUGAAGAUGAACUUGCAGUUGAUGGUACUCAGUUCAGAAAAAUGGUGGGAAGUCUUAGAUACAUUUGUCACACAAGACCUGAAAUCUCAUUCAGUGUAGGUGUGGUUAGCAGGUUCAUGAGUGACCCUAGACAGUCACACUUGUUAGCCAUCAAGAAGAUUAUGAGGUAUUUGAGAGGUACUCUAGACCUUGGUAUUCUAUUUCCUCAUCAGAAGAGUAAUUGCAAUCUGAAGCUGGUAUCUUAUUCAGAUUCUGAUUGGUGUGGUGACAUCAUGGACAGAAAUAGUACAAUGGGAAACAUUUUCCUUCUUGGUGAUGCACCAGUGUCCUGGUGUAGUAAGAAACAACCUGUGGUAGCCUUGUCUACAUGUGAAGCUGAAUAUAUUUCAGCUUGUUUUUCUGCUUGCCAAGCAGUUUGGUUAUCAUCCUUGUUAGAAGAAUUGAAGGCUGGUUUUGGAAGUAAGAUUGAGCUUCUGGUAGACAACAAAUCUACAAUAGAUUUGGCUAAAAAUCCUGUGUCACCCGGCAGGAGCAAACAUAUAGAAACCAAAUUUCAUUACUUGAGACAGCAAGUAGAUUCUGGAAAGAUCAAGAUUGAGUACUGUCCAACUGAUUCACAAUUUGCUGAUAUACUAACCAAGGGACUGAAGAUUGAAAAGUUCAAAGAAAUGAGAAGACUUAUUGGAGUUACAAGCCUGACUGAAUUCAAGACCUAGGAGUUUUUUUUACACAAUUAUAAUGUGGUUUUUUGUUUCCUAUGUUCUACUUUUGGUCGAUUUAGGUUUUGAUAGUUUUCUCAUGGUAAUUGCAUUAUGGGGGAGUAUCUAUUAUAAUAUAGUAAUCCUGAAGCGCGCGCUAUAACGCUGGCAAGUCAGCUUUUUUAUUUUCAAUAAAACUUGCCACAUAAGCUUUUAAACUGACGUGUCCUUUCUCUCUUAACGGAUUCCUAACUCCUCACAUCUCAUUUGUUUCUAAUCCCCACCCUACUCUCAUUAUUUAUUUUCUCCUCUUCUUCAUUGCCGCCACCAGCACCGUGUUCCACCACGCCAACUACGUCAUUCGGCUCAUCAUUCCCAUUUGUAAAGCUGGCAUGCUCGACCGCCCUCGCCCUGUUCGACCAAAUGUCUUAUCACUAGGUCCCUCAAUGCACAGCCAAGUCACUUACCACUUCCCUCACCGCCAUUAGGUACGAUUCCAUUUUGAAGCAAAAUAGGGUGAAUUGUGAAAAGAGGAAAUGUACGCCACAUAGUGGUUUCUCCUGUUUCUUAUCUUUAUUCUGCAUCCGACAUCAUAACCCAUAAUCAAUCUCCUGCUUAACAUAUCUCCUUUUUAUUGUGCCUUAUGGCAGGUUCUUGCCUGAAGUUGUUUUGCUCUGGAACAUUUAUAUUAUGAGUGAGUAGAGCUAGAUAAUUGAAUGGUCUGGUUAGUUCUGACCUUGCAUCCUUAUAUUUUAAUUUGACAGAUUUUUGUUUGUUGCUUCAAUCUGGAUACUAUCCCAUAUGAUUCAUGAAACUUCGAAUGACUGCUUCUUCUACACCAAACUAAAGAGUGCAAUUUCCUACUUAAGUCAAGGCACACAAAAAAACAAGUAUACAUAAAAUUAAAACUGCAUAAACUUUUACCCAUUUUAAACAUCAUUAAGGAUCCUUACUUCUCAUUUAAAUUCAUAUGCAAUUACUCAGAGAGUCUGAAGCUCAUGAGGUAAAAUAUUUUAAUUUGAGAAAUAGAAGAAGGAAUUGAAUGAAAAUAAUUAAGGACUAUUUUUUAUAUAAAAAUGCUAAUAAACCCUGAUCUAUUUAUAAUAUAUAAAUUCUGAGGCGCGGAAUGUGGCAUCGCCAACUCAUCUUCAUGUUACUACCUACGUUGCAGCGAGUGUUCGCAUGGCAUGGGUGAGUUUCGUCCAUGCGAGCGAAGAUGGAAGGGAGAUCGGUCCGCGAACGAGCGCUUCCACAAUGUCUCCAUCUCAAUUCAGAACGGGUUCGCGAAUGAGGAUGCUAUCUUAAUCGUUUAGAACCAAUGGUUAAAAAAACAAAGAACUUUUCAUGAUUGGCAUAUAUUAUGACAGGUUGGUAAUGUGGUUAUGACAUUGGACAAUAUGAUUGUUGUUUAAGUGCAUGUUUAGAAAGUGGUUGAAUUCAUCAAAAAAUAAAAUUUUAUUCUGUUUUUCAUACUUUUCCCAUUCUCUAUGGAUUUUCUUUUUACAGUUUUUGCUCUGGAAGGGAUUUAGGGAUGGUAGUCAAGUUCCUUAGUUGGUGAAGAAACUAUGGUGUCUCCAAGUUUAAAGUUGAUUUGAUAGUAGAUUGAACUCUUUCCAGCUUGAGCAUACCUCAGGUAUACAUCCACAAACAUCACUUCUAAAGUUCUAUUUUCAGACAAUGCAACCGAUUUGAAACAUUACAUGGGUUCCCGUCAGCUAUUUUCCUUCACUUUCCUAAUUUGCGUAUGAUGUUGCAGAGUUUAGGAUAUGACAAUUUAGCAUAAUGACUAGGUCCUCCUUCAUUCUAAUGAGAGUAAUGAUUAGUAGCACAUACCGCAUUGGCACUUCAAAUAUAGACCUUUUGAAAGGAAAAAAAAAGAUAUCUCCCAACAUUGAUACCAUAAUAAAUAUCAUAAUAAAUAUCGCAAGUGAAGUCUACACUAAAUCAAUUGUACCCGCCUGCGCAACGCGCGGGUCUUAGUCUAGUUAUAUGUAAUGCAAUUAAAGUGUGAUUAGAAAUAACUACUGUCUAAAUGGUUAGUGGGGUUAAUUACCCUUGAUUGGCUGUAAUAGUAUAAAUAGGUGAGAGAGUCAUUAACUGCAUUGACUCUAUUAAUUACAGAAAUAAUAAGAAUUGAGUUUUCCCCAAUUUUGAUUCUCUCUCUCUUUUCCUUCUGUUUUCUUGCUUUCUGGAAUAAUCAAUUCCAAUAUCUUCUUCAUGGACAGUCAAUAUAAUGUUUAUUUCCUAGAAAUCCUCAUGUUAGUAUUAACAUCUGAGAAGUUUCAACACUUGUAUCCAAAGAAAAUGUUAAUUUGCUUACAUGUUAAUUUUGUUAUAAGUAUAAUAUGAAAUCAUUCAUAUGUGUUUACUCAACAAUUUAAGAUUUUAAGAGAGAAUUGAUUCAUAAUAUUAUAUCAAAGUUUCUAUGACAAAGUGAUAUUUUUUACAUAUAAACUACUCAAUAUCUGGUCACCAUUUGAAUGCUGACUAUUUUAAUAUCAAGAUUUGAGAUUUAGUCACAGCUAAUACUCUUCAUCUCUCUCCCCAUAUGUAUUGCUUCCUGACUCUGUUUUGCAAGCUCCUUGCAGAAGAGCACCUCCGGUGGUGGCUGCUCAAUUCAUGACCAGAGGGAAGUUUUUGAUGGAUGAGGAGAUGGUCACGGGGCUAGACAGGGGGUGCUGUUUGGAUGUUCAAACCCCUGCGCUUUUCCUCUUUCCUGAGCUAACCCAGCGUCAUCUUGAAGAUUCAGCGGAUGUAAUCCGGGAGGUGCCCAAGCUGCAACGCUUUGUGUCUACAAAGGCUGACCGUGUUGGAGGGAGUGGAGUGGGAGAGGACUUUGGGGCGGAGGAGCUCGUGGAGAUCGCCGCCAUAUCUGGUACCAGGUCUCCAUGUAGGGAGGGGGUUGGGCUUUCCAGUGCUCAGCUUCCUCCUGCCAUUGAGGGAGUAACUGUGCUUUUGCGGAGACCCAGAGGCAGGCCAAAGAAGACCGAGGCUAAGGGAAGCAUGAAGGUUCCGCCGGUGACUAUGGCCGAUGCAGCGACCAAUGGUGAGGAGGUGUCAACCGGAAAAGAGCUGAUGGUUCUCUCUAAGGAGCUCUCUAAUCCCUAUAGCGUAAUGACGCAUGCAAGAAGUGCUAUCUUGAUGGGGAAGCGGCUUGGGAUGACGUACGACUGCCCAGACUUCAUAGCUGAAGGUGAGAUCGCGACACAAAUUUUGGCUAGAAGGGUUUGAUAGCCCUUGUUGAGGGAGUCCCGCUGGUUUUUCUUGGUUGGGUUUUUGUUUUUCUAGAUUGCUUUGUGUCUAUAGGUGGGUUCCUUGUCUUUUGUGGGCUUUGCUGGGCUUUUUUUUACCGUCUGGCACCUUUUUUGGUGGGCUUUGCCUAGGCUUUUUGGGCUUUUUUUUGGCUGAUUUGUCUUUUGAUCCCGUUUUUAGGAGGGUGUUUAUCGUGUAUAUCUCCUCAUUAUUAUAUGAAUUCUAUUUUACUUUCAAAAAAAAAAUGUAUUGUACGAGGAUCAAACUCAAUAGCUCUUCUCGCACACUCGGUCUGUAUUGUCAACUAGGCUACCCCUUGUGAUCUGUUGGAAAAAUAGUGAUAUUUCAAAAGUUUCAAGUCUCACAUUGCUUGUGCAUUGAACUUUCUAAAGGUUUAUAUAUCAAACCUCUCUUGUGGAUGUUAAAGAGCAUAAUCAGAAGAGGCCCCCGCACAUGAGAAUUAGGCCUCGUUGGCCCAACGUAGUGCAAAUCAGCGCGCACGUCUUUCUUUCUUUUAUUUUUCCACAUGUUCAUUGAACACCCAAAAUUGAUUUUCGCGACUCAGUUUGUUUAGUUGCAGGUUCUGUUCGUGAUAUUGUUGCUGUAGAGGUUGUUGUUUGGCGUCAAGUAUCCAACAUGAUUUAGAGUUUAUUCAUUGUUUCCCUAUUAUCCACGCUAUAAUCAAAUGAACCCUUUGCAGAUGUGACAUGUUAAAAGGUUAAUACAAAAUCAUUUAUGUAUCUUCACCCAAGAGUUUAAAACUUUUGGGAUAGUUGUUUAAUCACAAAUUCAUUCACCACAUUAUGUGACAUGACAUCAAAACUUAAACGUUAGCUAAGAGCACAAACAUAGGUUGCAAAGAUAUCAUUGUGGCCAAAGAGUCUUUUGUGUCAUAUUGAUGAGAAACCAGUUAGCCUGAAGUGAAGUCUAUAGUUCUUGAGUGAAACUCUGAAAAAUACUUUUUAUAAUGGAUUAUUCUUGAAAUUUGCAUAUCAGAUUACAUUUCACUACCUAUAGUAAUCCUGGCCAACUCUAACAAUAACAUGCAUUCCAUUUGACCGUACAAUUGAUGAGUCAUGGAUUCUCUAUGACUUGCAUACUUGCUUAAACGAUUGAGUACUCUUCUAAGAAAUUAAAAGGAACAGUUAGAAGAACCAUGUGAAACUAGGUUUCAUGAUUUUCUCAAAAUUCAAGACAUGUUUACUAAAAAAACAAAGACUUCUUGGUUCUAGCCAGAAGUGAUUCUAGAACAUUUCACUGUGGAACCAAACAUGCUAUUAGAAUGUGCUAUUAAAACCCCCUUCAGUACAUCAGGAUCUGUCUUUGAGGCCUCAACAGGUCUAAUUUCCUUGAGCAUUGCAACAGUGUCCUUCAUUGUUGGACGGUCCUCAGCUUGAGCACUUACACAAAGAUAUGACACAGCUAGUUUUUGUAGUAUUUCAUGCAUAGUAGGGCCCGUCCUCCCUCUCAGCUUUGGGUCAAGAAUGUCACAUGGGUCUCUUUUGCUAGCUAAGUGGUUCCUAACCCACUGAACCAAGUGUGAACCCCUAGGCAGAGUUGGCUCUAAUGGGGGUGUCAUCCUAUCAGGACCUCAAGAAGGACCACACCAAAACUGUACACAUCACUCUUCUCAGUAAUUUUCUGCAUUAAUGCAUGGUAUCAGUGUAUUUAUGACCAAAUAGUCUAGAGCUCGAUCCUUGUUAUCAGGGACAUAGCCGGAAAAAUUAAAUAAGGGAGGUAAAAAAUUAACACAAUAAGUAAAAUCAUCAAUGACUGAUUAAAAGAUACGGUGUAAAAAAUUUAAGUUGGGAAAUGAUGCAUUUAGUAUUCUAUUAAAGAAUGUUUUUCUCUUGGGGCGAUCUCUUGGGGCGAUUGCACCAUUUAGGAACAACCUAGUUCUGUAAUUAAGUAAUGGAGUUUUAAUUUAGCUACCCAGUUGGUGGCACUGCAUUGAGUUGAAGUCAAUUCUCAUAAAAGACUCAGCUUUUAAUAGGGAUAGAUAGAUUUUGAAAAAAAUUGGCUUUGAUUCUUACUCUCCUUUUUUUGUUAAAAAUAGGACCUUUUGGAAGUUUCAGAUUGCUUGCCAGAAGAGCAGGGACUUUAGCUCUUCUAUUCCUGUUAGGAACAUUCCUAAAUCACCUGAAACUGCUCUGCCAGUGAAAAGCCUAGAAAGUUCUAGCUGUCCUGAUGUUAAUGUACCCAAGAUAAAUGGUGGAAAUGAGGCUAAUUCAACUAUUGCACAAGAGGGAAACAUGAUAUUGGUCAUGUAGGACGCGAGCGUGGCAAAAAAUGCAACUUAGGCUAGUUCCGUUAGAGGGACGAACGGCAAAAGUGUAAAAAGGACCAACUUGACCGACAGUGACAAACUCAGGGACAAUUAAAGAUCAUUUUCAAAGUAUGAGGAUUAGACUGUAGUAAGUGAACACAUUCAGGGACCAAAAUGAGGGUUUACUCGUUUUUCACCUCUUAUUUCAGUUUUGUAAAGGAAAAUAAAAUAAAGGCUUAAAUAAACUUAGUCCCUGCAAAAUACAUCAUUUUUGUUUUUCAUCCCUGAAAAAUAUUUUUUUGAUCCUCCUAAAAUUACAUGUUUUGUUUUUAGUCAUUUUCUUGACAUUUUUCAUCCAAUAUAAGUUGGAAUAAACACAAUUAAUGUAAGAGUAUAAGUGAAUAAACACAAUAACCAUUCAAAAUGUGAACGGUAUCUAAUGUGACGACCAUCCUAAAUUAAUGAAGAGUAUAAAUUAAUAAACACAUUAACUAUAUUUCAUACUAUAGUUUAUAAGGUGACGUCCACAAAAGCUAAUGGAUGUCCACCAUGAUUUCGUCUCAUCAUAUUUUUGUCUCAUGUAUCCAGACAUACAAUUUGUGCAUACAAGCCAAAGAUUUCUCCUCAUGAUGAUAUACUAGGAUUAUAGCCCGUUGCCGUGCGAUGCACGGACGAGCGAUUCUAUGAGUUAUAAUUUUUAAUUCAAUAAUUUAUAAAAUAAAUAGAUUUAUUUACAUACCUAUGGUAAUUAAUAUUAAUAAUGUUUGCAGCUAUGAAAAGAUAGGUGAUAUUUAAUUAUUUUAUAACUUUAGUGUAUAUUAGAUAAUACAUAAACAUUUAAUUAUUUAAAAUGAUUAUAUAAUUAUUAAUCUGAAAUAUAAAACAAACUCGUUUUAAUUUAAAAAAAUGUAUAUAGAUUCAAUAGCAGAAAAUACAAGGAAUUGACUAUGUUAAUCAAGGAAUAGUAUUUAGCUCUUCAUGGAUAGAUGACAAAAAUAUAGUGUCUUAAAUUACCCGUGAAAAUAGAGAGAAUCAAACCUAAGGUAAAAAAAAAUGAUAUAGUUAUAGACAAAAUAAACAACCAUUCACAGUGAACAAAUAAAGUAGCACCGUUCAAGUGAUGUUUACAACCACAUCAUGUUAUAUUAUGUAGUACAAAAAAAGAACAAAAAUAUGUAACUUUUGAUGUUAAAUUACUCCGUCAAAACAGCAACUCUGUAAAAAUUGAGAAGAACCAUUUUCCAUAGCUGCAUCUUGUGUCUUGCAACGGAAUUUCCAAGUCUGAAAAAUGUUUCCUUAUAGAACUCAUACCACCGCCCAAAAAUGGCACCCAUACUCCCAGAUUCACUUAUCCCCUCACUAAGUGAGUACCAGACGAUUUCUCAUCUAGUCCAAGAACCAUCUGGAAGAAGUACAUUGAUUUCUGGACUCAUGUCGUUGAAAACCUUUUCCUGAAUAUAAUCAGGAAUAAUCUGCAAAAUUUUAAUUUCACUGCAUAAGUAAAGAAAAAAUAGUAAUACUAAAAAUUAAAUCACAAAAUUCCAAAAAGAGAAAACGAACCAGAUGAUGACGGGGAAUAAUGAGAUCAGCAGUGAGAUCAACUGACCAAAUUAACAUCUCCUAAUUCACAAUAUCUUCAACUUCAUUCUCAGAAUCAUCAUCACUAAUUAAAUUUAUAACCGAACCAUCUACUUCAUGAAAAUUCAUAUGACUUGAACUGGCAACAUUAGCUGCAACAUGAGCAGUUCUUUUCCUAUACUCAAUCUCAAACAAGUUCAGAUCACUAAUUUGGAUGUCAAAUCUACUAUCACCCAGAUAAAUAAAACAAAUUAUCACACUUCCCUGUAUUUGGUGCACAGUUCGUAACUCUGAAAUAUUAGCACCAAAUCUUGGUUCAUCACGAUCAAAAUAAAAGCUAAAACAGAAUUUAUUCCCUACAGGAUCCACUAAUUCAACAUAUUUAGAGAGACUUUCUUCAAAAUCAUUCAAGAAUUGUCUUGGUACAACAAUAUACACCUGAAUAUUCCACAAAAAUAAACAUAAAAAGAAAAAAAUAUGAUCAGUGUCCAAUAUUUUCAUCUCACUCCAAACAUAAAAAACAAAUUUCAUAGUUACCUCAUCCGGAUGAAAUACUCUGGCAAAAAUCUGUUGCUUAGACUUAGAACUUCUUAAGGUGUACUGAUGCAUAGUAACUACACAAAAAAACCGAUGACAACCUCUAAAUGUAAGAUAGAAAAAUGGAAUAAGGGUCAAAUAUUAACUAUAACAUAAGAGAUAAAUCCAAUUUCAAAACUCAAAUAGAUCAAGUGGGAAAUAUUGAAGAAUCACAGCCCAAAUACGAUAUCAAGUCCUAAGUCCUAACAUUAUAUGAGAAAAUCUCCAUAUCAAGCAUUAGGUGAGUACAAUUAAUGAAGCUACAACUAAAUCACUAAUAGGUAGAACAACAAAUUAUUCACUUUGGUUAAUGGACACGGCAACAUGUCCAAUUGGUCUGAAUCUCUCCAGUGAACUGUAAAGUGAUAAUUUAUGCACAUUUUUUUG